rnacentral:lncRNA from 1 species
CAGUUGUAGCUGUCACAGAAGAUCCUAUUACUGAUCCUUGUCGAGAUCAAUUGUGUUGAUAUUGAAAUUAUAGAGAGCCAUCCUUGAGUCUUUUUAGGUGGAAGGAUCGCUCUUUGUCUGGUUAAUAACCCCAGCGCUAAAAAAGGUAUGGGAGAUGGGUGGGAAGGCCAUCACCCUCUUUCCUAAGCUCUGUUGGUGGGUCAUUUUUCCAUUGAUGAAUCUACCGUGAGUGGGUGUAUAUCCCAAUCCCUCUUGACCCUUAUUUUUCUUUAGUUGCACUGGUUCUUUCAAUAGAAUUCCCACUUUGAUGGGUCCAAAUGACGAGUGAGACAUUGGACCGCCAUAAGACUAACAUGGGAAAGUGAUAUUUGACCUUUCCAUAAUCAGGACCGUGCCUACUAACCCAUCUAUAGUUAGGACAGCGGCUACUAACCCAUCUAUUAUAUCCAUAGUAGUAUUAUAGUGAACAUGCACUUGACUCAAUAUUUUGAGCAGGGCCAGUCGGUGAGUCUUUGAAGAUGUUAUCAUAUCUAGCUGGGAGACUCAUGCGAGGGUUUUUUUAAGUUGUUUCAUGACUUCGUAUUCGAUGUGCUUCAUCAUACCCUUAAGAACUCAUGGGCGGUGUCGCGGAGGUCUCUCAUCCAAGAACACAUUCUGUUGGUGCUCUACCCUAUCCCGCUUGAGGAAGGGGGUUUGGCGCGCUGGCGUCACAAGGUUGUAGCACUUGGUGGAGUCGCCAUCGAUCAGAAGAACAUUUAGGGUGAAUGUAACAUCCUGCCCGUCCUUCCAAAUCAAUGUGGCUUGGGACACAAUUUUGACUUGAUCUAUGAAAUUGAGAAUUGUGGGUACGGGGUGAUGUUACGAUUUAUGGUUGUCGGGUUGACCCCAUGUUGACUGGUUUUUACUCGGUUUGACCGAUUAUUUACUCUUAUGUCGUGAUUGGUUGAUGAAAAUAAGGGAUUUAUGAAGUGUUAUCGAACGGAACAUUUAGGUCUUUUUAACAUGUCUUCUCAUGUUUUAUUAGGCUUUCAGGUAUCCGUUGGAUAGAAGACGACAAAAAUAAUCCAACGGGACCAAUCGGAGCUCAAUCGGAUGUCGGUCGAGGGAGAUACUAGCAAAAGAAAGAAAAUUACCCAGGCUGGAAUCAGGGCCACACGGCAUGUGGAGGCCAUGUGGGUGUGCUGACAAAUGAUAUUUAUGCCCAAUUUUGAGGAGAGAGGUGGCAUUCUUUGGCUUACACACAUUUUCAAUCAUCCACUACUCUCCCAAGAAUCCUAGUCCAAAAAGCACCAUCCAUCCACCAAUUAUUUGAGGCCAUUAAAGACCAUUUGGAGCUCUUGAAGAUCUAGGAUUGGAGAUCAAGCAUUGUUAGAGGUUGAAGCAAGGAUUUGCAUUCAUGAUCACCUCCUCCAUUCUUGUAGAUUAUGGUGAUUAUUGUAUUCCUUCCUCUUUGUUAGUUUCAUCAUGAGUGGCUAAGCGAUUAGAAUUGUUCGAUUAGAGUGUUUGUAAGUGCUAGGAUGAUCCCCUCAUGAUGAGGGGUUGGACAUGUUCGGAUUCUAGUUAUGAUUAUGGUUGUGCUUGGAUUAUGGAGCUAUUCAAUCUAUCUUACGCCAUGGCUUGAUUUAGGUCAAAUUAACUCUUUCCUUUGCUUAAUUGUGAAUGAAUUGAGUUAGAUUGUAAUCCAAGAUUCAAGCAAGGUGUAUGUGGAACAAGACACACCCCAAUUUAACCUUUAGUGCUUCUUUAGGGACAUUUCAUCGAACACUAGAGUGCAUUCUAUAAAUCAUCUAAGUAGUGACAAACUUGAGUGAUUGGGAUGUUUGGGGUGUCAAUUGGUGAUUAGCACCCAUUCCUAGGUGAUUGUGGUGUCCUUAAGGAUUUCUAAGUACCAACGUAUUUCAUCGAACACCUUCUGUUCACUACUAUUUUUGCUUGAUCUCUUGUGAAUUAGUAGUGGUAUUCCAUUGUAAGACUUUAUUCUGAAUUUCUUCACAUGCCUAGAGACUAAUCGUACCAUAAAUAGUGUCCAUUAUGUCUGAAGUCCUCUAAUGAGUCAAAUUUGAGUAUUUCCAACACUCGACGUCUAGCAACCUUACUCUCUUCGUUUGAUCUUUAUACUCUUUUGCAACAUUUAAUCUCUUUAAUCGCUUUGCAUACUUUGCAGUGAUUGGAUAGUAAACCUAGUUAGUAACUUAGAAAAACCCUUUUACAAACUUUCUUUGGCUUAAACCGUGAACGAAGUGUUGAGUAGAGAUUUGUGAACAGACCUCGUGGGAUACGACACUCGUGUCAGUUAGGAUUUGGGUUUCAUAGCCUCUGUUCUAUCCUAUCAAAUUUUUGACGCUGUUGCCGGGGAAUGUUCACACCUUUAAAAGACAGCAUUCACCCUCUCCAAUUUACUUCGUGCUCCCCUUGUUUUGGUAUAUCCCCCUGUCUGUGUAUUACUUUGGUUUGCUCGUUUUGGUGUGUAGGACUCUCUUGUACAUCCUCAUUGUAUACUAGACAUUUAAAUAUAAAUAGAUGUGCACCAAGGUGGCUCCUAGGGACUCCACCUCACCCUCUAUCACGCAUAGCGACUCCAUCCCGUUUUCCAUCAGUUGCAUCAUCAUCUACACUUCCAUCAAUCCUAGAAUCUUCUACACCAACAUCUUUACAGGCUUCACUAGUUGACUUGAGCUCCAAAGCAGAACUAGAGUCGUUGAGAACAUGUUCGAAAUGGCUCCACCACCACCUAGAACUCUUGAGGGAACUUCAUCAAGUGUCCUUCGUCCACGAGUCGACAACCGCCAAAAUUCCAAUACAUUCAAAUGGUGCAACAAAAUGUCUAUCAUGGCCAUGAAAAUGGAUGUCCGAGUAGCCCCCUUCGAAGCUUCUUAGAGAUUGUGGACCUCACGAAGUCCAACAAUGUCCCUCAAGAGGCCACCAACUUCGACUCUUUCUUUUCUCACUCCAAAGUUAGGUGAAUCAAUGGCUAGAUAACCAACCCAACAACACCUUGCAAACUUGGGACGAAUUGGCGAAGACUUUCUCGGAAGAGUUCUUCCCCCCUACAAGACGGAUGAGAUUAGGGGAAGGAUCUCUCACUUCCAACAAAUUAAUGGUGAGCCUUUCUUUGAAGCAUGGGAUCGAUUUCAAGACGGAUGAGAUUAGGGGAAGGAUCUCUCACUUCCAACAAAUUAAUGGUGAGCCUUUCUUUGAAGCAUGGGAUCGAUUUCAAGACGGAUGAGAUUAAGGGAAGGCUUUACCCAUGCCCUCACCAUAACUUUGGAGAGUGACAACUUGCGGAGACAUUUGCUAGAGGGCUUACUUAUGAGGAUACGAAGAUGAUCAACCAAGCGACGAAAGGAGAUUUAAGAUCAUUCCUCCUCGAGCGUUGCCUUCAAAUCUUCAGAAAGAUGACCGUGAUGACAAAGAGUUGGUCAAGGCCACAAUGUCUUAAAGACAUCAAAGCGAUGACCUGGGAUGCUUAUAUCUCCACCAACACUACUGCUCCCAAAACUCUCAAGGAUAUGCCCAAACUUUGAGAGAAGGAUGAAGAGCAACCAGGCCACUUAAUUGUAUCAAGGAUGGAUACAAUGGAUGCUCUGCUUUUUCCUUAGCUCAAGCAAUUGCCAAGCCUCAAGAAGUACAAGCACUUCUUCCCAAGCCGACAAUCAAGCCUCCUAUCGCACAAAUCUUUGUAUCCAAGAGUUGUGGCAGUGAAGGGCAUGAUGCUUCGACUUGCUAAUCUUUUGCUCCCAACUUUGCACUGAAAGAGGAUUGCAUUGAAGAAGUGGACUAUGUACAAGGAAGCUACCACAGAGGCAACCAAAGUGGAUCAACCACAGAAGGCGAACAAGAAAGAGAUCAACCACAGACAACAAGAAGAUGAUGCGGUGGUGAUGUUGAUGUCUGGUAGAACCUUCCAAUUAUGUAUUAUUCAAUUCAGUUGUUGAUGGUCAUCCGAGUAGUAUUUUUACUGAGCAAACAUACUGGGCAUUGGAGCUGGCUAUUGGCUAAUGUAGACGCAAGAAACAUUCUCUAAACCCUCAGCAAGUAAUGUAGACGUAGUCCCUUUCUCCAGUAUUUCUCUGUGUUUCAAUGAUGUAAGAAGUUAAAACUCUUAACAUUUUAAUACACCAGCCGCGUAAGAUAUUAUUUUCUAGUUAACCAAAGUCUGUAUAGAAUAUUACCUUAUAUUGAUAAGGAAACAUCCUAAAUUCUUACUAUUUAUUAAAUGAUUAAAAUACCUCAAUCAGAGAACUUUAAAAUAAAGAAAAUAAAAUAAUAAAAUAAAAAUCUUUAAAACAAGAGGAACUUAAGAAGAAUCUCGAACACUAAUUCUUACGAUUCACUCUCCUAUAAUAACUUUCAAAUAUCUUGGUGGGUGGUUCGGGGUCAGUCUUUCGUGCUCUAAUCUUAACAAUCAAUAAUUAUUAAAAGCGUUAGCCAACAUAUUAUACAAUUUCAUCUAAUCAUUUAGAGCUAUUUUCAUCUCUAGAACUAUUCCACCGUUAUUAAGGUUCUCUAACUUCUACUAACUUCUACUAACUUCAUACAUUUAGGAUAUCAUGAUCUGAAAUCAUUUACUAACUCAAAACUAACUAGUCUUAAUAUCCAUUUGACGGACUACUCUAAUGGCCCAAUAUUUAAUCGUAGGAGUCCCUAGUGGCCCAAUUAUAAGUAUUGGAUUUAUAUUGGUCUGAGACCAUAAGCUGCCAAUAUGGAUCAGAGGUCUAAUAAGAGAGGUAUAUAUUACUAGAUCAUCUAUUAAUCAUCUAGACUUAGAGUAGCUCUUGUUGUUCGCUAGUUAUCUAAUCACAUCAUACUCUAGUUUAAUCAUAUAGGCACGUCAUAUGAGCAUCAUAACUGAACAUAAGAAAAUAAGGACACAUAUAGAUUCAUAAGUACUAACUGAGUAACCAUAUUACAUAAAGUAGUCCUAUUUAUGUAAUCCUAUCAUAAGUAAGAGUUUAACACGAUAAGUACUUAAUCAUCAACAAGGAGUCUUUAAUCAUCAACAAGGAAUCAUCAACAAAGAAUCGUCAACAAGAAAUCAUCAACAACUAAUCAUCAUGAAAGAUUGAAACUAAAGUCAAUCAUGUUAGGUGCAUUAUGAAUCAUGGAAUUAUAGUUCUUGUAACUUGUCAUAUCAUCAACAUCAUUGAGGAAGUCAAUUUACAAGACUCUGAUUCAUGCACUAUCAUUGACAUUAUCUAAGGUAUCUUAUUCCUCGUGGGGCGUCCCCCAACUCAACCAACUAACCCACCGCCCUAGCGCGGAGGUCUGGGAGUACAUAUCCAUCAGACGGUAUCAUAAAUCAUAGAAGGAAAACUGUGACCGUAAAUCAUAGUGGGUAUAUGCCCAAAUCAUAGGGGCAACUGUGGCCCGAAACAUAAGGGGCGGUGGUCUAACUAGUAAGUUUCAUGUUUUAAAUCCACCUAUUACACAUCUAAGUGAAGUGUUCAUGUUUCUUAUCACUGGUUAUGUCUAAACUUAUCAUCGUCUAACAUUAAUAUUAGUCUAACCUUAUCAUAGUGUUAACAUUAUCAUUAGUCUAACCUUAUAGUUAUAUAGGAGGUAUAACUUGUACAACAUCAAAGUAAUAACAUGUCACAAAUAAACACUCAAGCAUGGAAUCAUGGCAUAAACUAAAAUGCAUCAAAUUAACUAACUUAAUCUACCCCCUUAAACCAACCCACCUCAUUGGCGAGCUGACGUCUCAGAAAUAUAUCCGAGAUGAUUCCCUUUGCUGCCACGAAACCACAACCUCAUACGGUGCUUCGUUCUGAGCUCAAACGACCAAGUUAUUCUCUGUUUACUUCUUUGCAACUUGUUGAAACUUGAACGGCAGAAUUUUCAUUUCCCUGUCUAACUUGGCAAACUUCAGAAUCAGUUCCCCAACUUCUGGUCCUUGCAGUUCACUCCAUAUCAUACAGAGAACUACAAUCCAGUCAUCCUAAUUUCCAGGAAGAACAGUUCAGUCUAACACCCCAACUUUACAGGUAUUGCAAAUUGGUCACUUAUCUUCCAUAAUUCGCUAGGUGAUCACUCUUCCCUAACCUCUGCAUCUGCGAUUACAGAGGAUGUCGCCGAUGACCCGAUUCAAUCCGUCGAGCUUUCCACGAAUCUUGGAAUCCGCUUCUUCUCCUCGCCUUUGACUCUACCGCCAGCCGCUUCGCAUGGGAGAGAAGGCUUCUCCCUCGAUCUAUCUUUGUCAGAUCGAUUCCUCCGCCAGACACCCAACAUCGGCUCUUGUUGAUGCUCAGACUCCAUCCAUCCUUGAUCCAAGGUGGUCGCCCGAUUGGUGGUUCGUUGCCGAUCCGACGAGGGAACGACACCAUCCCUCAUGGGCCCUCUCUCGUUCCAGUCGCCACCAAUGUCAGCCUCUCCCUCUCCUCUCACCGAUCGAUCUCAGGCCACCAAGGAAGCUCGCCAACAUCGCCUCCUGGAUUGCCUUCCCCAAACGAGAAGCCGACUUACCUGCGUGGUCACCAUCAACUCCUCUCGUCGGAUCUGCCACACUAGGGUUCCCUCCCAGCACGAAACACUCUCAAGCUUAAAUAGUUACAGAGGCUCACAUGUCGUUCGAUCCAUCCAACCGCCCAAUGCCCAUCACGUCAUCAUAAUUUCAAUUGUGUAUUAGGCCCACAACCGAAAUCCAAAACCAAACAAACAACAUCAUCUACUUUCUCUUGGACAAAUCAGGCCUCACUUCUCACCGUAGAAUCUAUCCAACCGUCCAGAUUCCUCCAGACCCCCAACUAAUAGACUAAUGGCUUCAUUCCAUCUCCGAUUAUCUAACCAACCGAUAAUAGCACCGCACCUCAUAGGUCUCCGGAACUCGCACAACUCAACAGCCAAACUCCUCGAAUAAAACAAUUAAUUCAACACCAAACCUUCUAUUCCAUUCUUCGAGUAGGAUUUCUAUCAAACCGAAAAUUCUAACUAGUAGCCUACAACCGAUUUAUCCAAUUUAAUGUACCAUGUACUAAUGAGUUGGACACUUCUAAUAAUUCACAAUUAGGCUAACAUUAAUUUAGUAACAGGAUCGUAUCCAAACAUGGAAUUUACAUUAUUGUACUUUUGCCAAUUUAGUGUUUUACCCUCCAUUUCAAUUUUAGGGAAGCGCAAAACCGCUUUUUAACAAUAAUAAUGGGGUCAUUUUUGGAAAUAAAAAGUAUGAUUAAUUUAAAAAUUAUAUUGACCGUCAAGUUGAAACCUAAAUUAUAUAAAUUGGCCAUUAAGACUUAGGAGCCUCUAAAACAUGCGGCACAUCCAAUAAACACAAAGAAGAAGUAAAAUGCGAUUGCAGGUUACGUGCAUCGAGAUGCUAGGUUUCUAUUCGAUGUUAUAAAAUAGUCACUAAGUAAAUACUAAUAAGUAAUGAAUCAAAAAUACUAUGCAAUUAUUAAUAUUCUCUAACAUAAUACUCGAUAAUUACUAACAUUAUCUAACACUAGGCAAUUAUUAAUAUUCUCUAACUAUGCAAUUAUGGUAAUGAUACCAACCUCAUUAUCGCAUAUAUCACCGACGCGAUGUCAUUUGCGGUGGCCCCAAAGUAGUUUUACAUCGAUUGGCUCAGGGUCGACGCACGGGGAUAUUGGUCCAUACAAGUAAUCCAUCCUACAACAAAACAAAAUAUUAAUAAAAAACAAAACUAAAAAAUUACAAAUUAAAAAAUAAAAUUAUAGAAUUACCGAUUAGUUGGUUGCAGAACGAGGACUCGUUAUCGGUACAGAAAAAUCAAGAAAGGAAGGAAUGAGAAAUAGUGGAUUGGUGUGGAAUGAAAGAGGAGGAGAGGGUGAUAUUUAUAGAACAACUGGAGGCAUACUAGAACGUGCGAUGCACUGUGCCUCCAACGGUUAUAUUGAAACGGUCAUCUAACGAUCGUUACAAUAUAGCCGUUGAUUCCACCUUAAAACGCUUCACACAUCCUAAGACACGCCGCGAGUUGUAGAGGGUACUAGUGAUCAUUUUGUAUAAUUUAAAUUUUAAUUUAACUAUCUACAUAAUUUUUGAUUUAUUCAUGUCUAAAAAAAAUCCCCAUUUUCUAAGCCUUAUCUCAUCUCUUUCCUGCUCGUAUAAAAAAUUUCAUUAUUUUAUUUUUAGAAAAUUGGCCCCUUGUAUUUUAAUUUUACCAAAUUGGUGAUUAGCCCCUUUAUGACAAAAUUGCCCACGUCCCCUCUUACAUUAUUGCUAAUUAACCAACCAUAUUUUCUGUUAUGGUUUCGGUUAGUUUACUAUUAAAACCUAACAAAUCAGCAUGCCAUAUCACUAAGUCCGUUUAUAUCAUCAUGUUUAUGUUGAGACCAUCCAUUAUGGUGAGCUAAAUAGCUAAAAAUGCUAUUAUUUAGUUCCAAGUAGCUUCACAAUGGGAGAGCUAAAUAUCCAAAAAGUAAAAAAAGCUAAAAUAGUUGGUAAAAAAUAAUUGGGUCAAAUAGCUAAGACUAUCUACAUCAAUACAAUUCAUCUCCAUCUAUAAAAGUGAUCCACAUUUUCACAUCAUUAACUUUUGCAAUUUCACAUUCUAUAUUUUCAUAUCAUUUUCAUCCAUACAAUUCAAUUCCAAUUGCAAAAAUGAGACCAAUAUAUAUAUUAUUUAUAUUUUCUUCAAAUUAAUUCGAAUGUUAACAAAAAGUGGACCCAAAUGAAUUUUAAAAUAUUGUAUGAAUGGUGUAGCCCCAAAUAAAAUUAUCACUUGACUUAUAACAAAUGUAAAUUUGCAUUUAAAAGUUACAUUUUUUCAUCUAUGAUAUUUUCAAUUGAAUUAUAAAAAUUUAACACAUAAAUUCCAUAUCAUUUUAUAAAUAAAUAAAAUCUCAUUAAUGGGAUGCUUUAAUAGUCAAAUUUCACACUACCUGGCAGACCCAUAGUAAUGGAAGGCGUAUGGAAUUAAAAACAUAUUAGGAAAGAGAGUGACAAACAAUGCCCAAUGAUAAAUCAAUAAUCCGGCGAGUGGAAGACAUGCGGACUUGCUGCUGCUGAGAUUCCUUGAAUAAUUAUUCAUCAGUACAAUCCAGCUGGCACAAUUUGAUUGGCUUCUUUGUGUUGUUGUGAUAAAUGGUUUUGCUGUUCUUUGUUAAAAAAGGGAAUUGCCUUCAUUAUUUCACAUAACCAUCCGUCAUGUUUGUUCACGAACAUUAAUAUUAUUUUUUGACAUUCAUUCAUAAAUUUAAAAUUUAAAGUGCCUUAAUUAUGGAUAUAAUUUAACGAGAAAUUGAAAUAUUUGAAUUUUAUCUUAGAUCUAUUUUCUUGCAACUCAAGGAUAUAUGCAAAAUAAAUAUCAUAGCCCAUCAAGUGGUAAAAUUAUCACAUGAGACCAAUUUAUGGUGAACCAACACAAAUAUGACCAAGAUUACUACUUCAAAACCGAGUAGUUCUUGUGUUUGAAUAAAGGUCGAUUAAAAUUGACAUAGAGUCACAUAGUGAUCUUACUACCAUCCUGGCAUUGAUAGCCAUGUUAUAUCCAUAUAACUUUUUGUUGGAUAUAAUUAGUAUAUCAUUGAUGAUAUACGAAAAUCAUGUUCGAGAGAGAUGCACAAUUGGCAAGUUAGUGGUAAUCUUCCACAUCUUUCAUCAAAGACUUGAUGUCUUAAAACUUUUCAUUUCUCUUGGGAAUUUGAAUUUGCCUCAAAUUGAAAUUUUUUUUUUUAGCCAAUCAUUUCUAUCUGUGCAUGCAUUUUGGCUAAUGAUCCUCAUUUUCAACUAUCAUAUUUAGCGUUGCACUAUACGCAAAUAUUUCGUCGACGUUGACUUCAUUGGGGUUCCAAUAUUUUCCAUCCAAGAUAUAGAUAAUUGAGAUAUAUAUUCAUAUCUUUCAGGUACCUGAUACUCUUCUUGAGCACAUUAUUUGUUUCUCUUGGUGGCUUUGUUUAAAUAAUCUUAACCUCAAUUUGACCAUCUUGAUAUAUAGCUCCAUUCCACUUUUGAGGAUUUUUUCUUUGGAACCGAGUGGUCUAUCACGCCUUUGCGGGUUUUAGACUCAUUUGUGAUGUCAGAUUGCCCAAUAUUGGCAUUAUUGUUAUUGGAGCAUUUUGAGUUGGCACAUGAAAACUUUACUCUCGUUGGGUCAGUAAAGUGUCUGGCAGAUAAUGAAUUAUAUAUUUUUGAACUUCAAGCUCAUAUUGCUUAGUGCGAGGAUCAAAAUAAUAUGAUCAUUCAUCUAAUCUCUUGGCCAACUUUUGUUUUGUCCCCCUAAUGUUGGGAAGUUUAAAUAUAAACCUCCAAACGAGUCAUCAAAAUACUCCCGACAACGAUGUGAUACUUUACCAUCGAUGAACUCGUAAUCAAAAUUCAAUCUUCAUUGAGAACCCAUCCUAAUAAAUGGUGGUGGAGCAAUUCAGAUGUGUAUAUCACAUCCAUAUAUCCAAUGAUGGGAAGUAUAAGGUUUUGACCCAAAAACCACAUAUAAUGGAGGAAUUCAUAAUAAUUUCUUGGCGUAAUGCGAAUUUGUGUUGUUCAUGUAAAUGACAUGUUCACAAUAAUAUAAAUGGAAAAUGUUCGUCUUAAUGACACAUUUUCGUUAUUGGAUAAUCAUGAAAAUAUGCUCAUAACCAAAUGGUUGAGCUAGUAAUCUCCCAAAUUAAAGUUUGUCAUGAUAUACACAUGUGACUAUCUAAUUGAUGCAUCAAUUAAAAUAAUUGGCUCACAUGUUGGGUGUAUUGAUCCCCAAAUAUCACCUUUGUUUUGUUGUGUGGAGGAGAAAUGAUCUUACUUUAGUUGAUGAUUAUCCAACAAUCUACUCUAUUUGAGAAUAAGCAACCAAAAACUGAGUUAUGUUGCGUUGGAGAUUUACCCAACAAUGGGUAACGGAAAGGUCAAAAUGCUUUCCUAGAAACGAAACAUUGUUGACAGAACAGAAAACCGUUCGUGUUCCCAGGAAGUAGGGGAGUCACAAGGACUACUUAAAUCCAUAUAACCUUAGGAAUCAUUUCUUUAGAAUACCCAAGUUGAGACCAUCAUGCACAACAAUGUUCAAGAGAACAUACUCUUUAGAUUAUGGAAUCAUCAAAAUUGACCAUAGAGGUACUUAUCGAUUCCCAUCAUGAUUGAACCUGGAUGGUCUCACCGGUUAUGCCAAAUAAUAGUUGUCAGGACUAGUAAACUUUUGUUUUACAUUGACAUAUAUCUCAAUCAUGGUAACAUAUGCGUAGUACGAAUUGGAGGAAAAUAUUCAUAUUCUAUUUUAUUGAUGGUCACAAGAGAUAGGAACAAUAAUGUGGUCUAUGACCAUGCAAAAGGUUUUCGCUCAUGCAUGAACAAUAUAAUAUCUCGAUCUAGAGUUUGAAAUAAAAUAUAAUAGCUCGAUCCAGAGCUUGAGAGAAAUGUUGUACUACACCAUAUAUCUUGGUGCACUAUCGAUGUGAUAUAUAUCACAAUUAAUUAUGGUGAUUCGCAUCAUAAAAUACUCAUUUUUGUCAUAAGAAUGGUACAUGGUUUAAAUGAUAAAUAGAGAUAUUUCUCAAUCAUCUAUGUCACCAAUUAAUUGAUCAAUAAUUCUCGUAUAACCACAAUUGUUAUGUCUAUCCGAAUAAAAUGGUUCCUUAUGUGAACAAUGAUAAUAUGUUGUCACUUAUGCUUUCAGGAACAAUGUAACAAAAUAAAAGUGUCUUUGCAGAUCGUAUGAUGUUACUUGUGCUUUCAAGAAUAAUGUAACACAUGUGUCUUUCCACAAUCACUUUGAGGGCUAAAUUAGUAUCAGUUGGAUAUGAUCAUCAAAAUAAAACUGACAGUUGUACCACCAAUCAUAGGAUUAAAAUUGUUCAACAUCAAUUCACAACUCUCUUCCACGCGAGAAGAUAAAUUUCACAAAUUUCUUUCCCAUGACCAUAAUAAGAGGUAUUGUCCUCCACAAUAGUGUAUUGUCGUAUCGCCUUCGUGGGAAUAUAUGUAUUGUCACAAAGGACAUGAUAUAAUCAUNNNNNNNNNNNNNNNNNNNNNNNNNNNNNNNNNNNNNNNNNNNNNNNNNNNNNNNNNNNNNNNNNNNNNNNNNNNNNNNNNNNNNNNNNNNNNNNNNNNNNNNNNNNNNNNNNNNNNNNNNNNNNNNNNNNNNNNNNNNNNNNNNNNNNNNNNNNNNNNNNNNNNNNNNNNNNNNNNNNNNNNNNNNNNNNNNNNNNNNNNNNNNNNNNNNNNNNNNNNNNNNNNNNNNNNNNNNNNNNNNNNNNNNNNNNNNNNNNNNNNNNNNNNNNNNNNNNNNNNNNNNNNNNNNNNNNNNNNNNNNNNNNNNNNNNNNNNNNNNNNNNNNNNNNNNNNNNNNNNNNNNNNNNNNNNNNNNNNNNNNNNNNNNNNNNNNNNNNNNNNNNNNNNNNNNNNNNNNNNNNNNNNNNNNNNNNNNNNNNNNNNNNNNNNNNNNNNNNNNNNNNNNNNNNNNNNNNNNNNNNNNNNNNNNNNNNNNNNNNNNNNNNNNNNNNNNNNNNNNNNNNNNNNNNNNNNNNNNNNNNNNNNNNNNNNNNNNNNNNNNNNNNNNNNNNNNNNNNNNNNNNNNNNNNNNNNNNNNNNNNNNNNNNNNNNNNNNNNNNNNNNNNNNNNNNNNNNNNNNNNNNNNNNNNNNNNNNNNNNNNNNNNNNNNNNNNNNNNNNNNNNNNNNNNNNNNNNNNNNNNNNNNNNNNNNNNNNNNNNNNNNNNNNNNNNNNNNNNNNNNNNNNNNNNNNNNNNNNNNNNNNNNNNNNNNNNNNNNNNNNNNNNNNNNNNNNNNNNNNNNNNNNNNNNNNNNNNNNNNNNNNNNNNNNNNNNNNNNNNNNNNNNNNNNNNNNNNNNNNNNNNNNNNNNNNNNNNNNNNNNNNNNNNNNNNNNNNNNNNNNNNNNNNNNNNNNNNNNNNNNNNNNNNNNNNNNNNNNNNNNNNNNNNNNNNNNNNNNNNNNNNNNNNNNNNNNNNNNNNNNNNNNNNNNNNNNNNNNNNNNNNNNNNNNNNNNNNNNNNNNNNNNNNNNNNNNNNNNNNNNNNNNNNNNNNNNNNNNNNNNNNNNNNNNNNNNNNNNNNNNNNNNNNNNNNNNNNNNNNNNNNNNNNNNNNNNNNNNNNNNNNNNNNNNNNNNNNNNNNNNNNNNNNNNNNNNNNNNNNNNNNNNNNNNNNNNNNNNNNNNNNNNNNNNNNNNNNNNNNNNNNNNNNNNNNNNNNNNNNNNNNNNNNNNNNNNNNNNNNNNNNNNNNNNNNNNNNNNNNNNNNNNNNNNNNNNNNNNNNNNNNNNNNNNNNNNNNNNNNNNNNNNNNNNNNNNNNNNNNNNNNNNNNNNNNNNNNNNNNNNNNNNNNNNNNNNNNNNNNNNNNNNNNNNNNNNNNNNNNNNNNNNNNNNNNNNNNNNNNNNNNNNNNNNNNNNNNNNNNNNNNNNNNNNNNNNNNNNNNNNNNNNNNNNNNNNNNNNNNNNNNNNNNNNNNNNNNNNNNNNNNNNNNNNNNNNNNNNNNNNNNNNNNNNNNNNNNNNNNNNNNNNNNNNNNNNNNNNNNNNNNNNNNNNNNNNNNNNNNNNNNNNNNNNNNNNNNNNNNNNNNNNNNNNNNNNNNNNNNNNNNNNNNNNNNNNNNNNNNNNNNNNNNNNNNNNNNNNNNNNNNNNNNNNNNNNNNNNNNNNNNNNNNNNNNNNNNNNNNNNNNNNNNNNNNNNNNNNNNNNNNNNNNNNNNNNNNNNNNNNNNNNNNNNNNNNNNNNNNNNNNNNNNNNNNNNNNNNNNNNNNNNNNNNNNNNNNNNNNNNNNNNNNNNNNNNNNGUUAAAUUUGAGUGGGAAUUUGACUUUUUUAGGUUCAACUUUUCUAAAGUUAAAACGCUAAAUUUGAGUAAAUUUUUUUCCCCACCGCUAGUAUAGUUUCAUUCCUGAUCACGGACACCUGUGUAGGAACCACCUAUGAUCUCUUCACUUUCUUUAUGGUUCUGAAUACAACUAUAUUCACACCAUCUUCCUGCUCUUCACCCAAAUUCGACAAUGAUAUCAGCAAUACUUUGUUAUUUUAUUUAUGUCAUUAAUAAAUAAGUUUAUAAUUAAGCUGAUUAGGAUGUUGACUAAAAUGAUGACCCCAACUGCCACGUCAGUGUUGGACAGAAUUAUUGACGAAAUUGGACGGAAAAUAUAAUGGAAGGAUACGAUUGGUUAAUUGGCAGGACUGUAAGGGAANNNNNNNNNNNNNNNNNNNNNNNNNNNNNNNNNNNNNNNNNNNNNNNNNNNNNNNNNNNNNNNNNNNNNNNNNNNNNNNNNNNNNNNNNNNNNAUCCAUUUAUUUAAUUGAUGGUUUGUCAUUAGGUCCGCUCAAAUUCACAACAGUUCAAGCACAUGUAAUUCAUUUUUCUUCUUUCCUUUUAUAAAUGAAUUUUAGUUCAACAUUAAAAUGAAUUAUAUAAGUUCAAAAUUAAAAUGGUCCUGUUUUUUAAGGCCCUUGGUUUUUACUUUUUGGCUACUUCUUUUUGGUUGGCCCAAGUCAUCUAGAGUGAACAAUGAUUGAUUGUUAGCGUAUGUAGUUGUAUGGGUUUUGAGCCCAACUCGAGCCUAUGUUAUUUUGUUGUCUUUUCUUGAAACAACGUUACUUAAUUAUAUAAAUAGUCCAUCAAUUGUCUCCCUAUAUACAGGUGAUACCAGAGAACGAGAUCGACGAGCAAAGUUUGUGAGAAACCGUGCUCCUAUAUUUUCUAACCCACUCAACCCUGAAUAUAGGUCUACUAUUAAGGAUGUGUUGGCAUCGCUCCAUUAUCGGGCCAAACUCCAUGCUACCAUGUCCCAACGUUACUUCUUGGUAAUCUGUCUCAAUGAUGGCCUUUUCAUAGCCCAUGUCUCGUAUCCAUUCGAAGCUAUCCUUCACUGCAUGCGCUUCUUCUUCCCCGCUCUUGUUAACCUUGUUGCCUUCUACAUGAGGAAAUGUAUUAAACCACCUGACUCAUCGCAAACCGCUAGUCUUACGCCAUGGUUUCUAUCCUGAUGGAACAGGGGAAUGUCAACAUUGCAGUUGACGUACCCCACCGGUGGUGGGUGCCAUUAAGGACAAGCUGUGGGUUGAGGUUGUUGUGGUCGCUUCUCCUCCGUCCAAUAAUUCACCCAUUCCAACAAGUCAUCCAAAGCAUGUCGUAUAAUCACCUCUGGUGACUAGCCUCCCCAUUCCAUACUCGCUCGUUCCUUUCCCGCCAGACUACCUUGAAUCUGUAAAUUCGCGUUGGAUUGCAACAUUUGGAAAACCCAUCCCCGUACAUCAUCCACUUGCAUGCAUACCGAAUGGACCCACUGCCACAUUCCCAACAAGGUCUACCAAUUUCACACUCGAAGAGCAAGUUAUCGAGAUCCUCACCCAUUUUCAAACAACAGUCGCAAGUAUCCAGUACUAUGACUGCUUGCUUGCCAGACGCACUCUAGUUGGCACCACAUCACGAGCCACCCGCUAAAUUAUGAAAUUACUCGAAUGAUUUAAGUGGUUACGUUAUGUCAUGUCAUUCAUGUGACUAUGUUAUGUUAUGCUAUGUUAUUCAUGUGAUCCGGAUAAUUGUAUGCCAAUAUCAUUGUGAUUAAGUGGUUACCUUAUGCUAUGUUAGUAUGUAAUGGUUAAGUGCCUAUCUUAUGUUAGGUUAUGUCAGGUUAUGAUAUCUCUUGAUGAUGUGCAAGUUACAACUUUCAACUACAUUAAAGCAUGUCAUGUUCCCCAACAUUAGUGUCCACGUUAUGUCCAUCAUAUUCAUGUUAUGAUUAACUGCUUAUGUUGUUGCUUGAUGAUGUGCAAGUUUGCCCUUUUAAACUAUGUUAACUCAUUUCAUGUUCUCCAAGAUCAGUGUUGUGAAACCCCAUCCUAAGAGUCCUGAUCGAACCACUAGUUCAACCAAUGAGGAGUCCUACUCGGGUUUCAACUUGAAACACACUGAACUCUAGGCUACUAAUAAAAACAUUUAAAACAAUAUCCUCUGAUAUCAAAACACCGACAAGCUCUCUCCCCACCGUGAGCUCCAGUACCUGUGACUGAACACACAAAUAUGCCAAGGAAAACAAGCUAAGUCUAAUGGGGUCAGUGAUAAGCAUUGAGUGGCUAAAUUAGACUGGCGUAAAACUAUGACUAUACUGAGAAGAUAGGGAAAGAAAGUAUAACUAAUCCCUGAAUCUAGUAAUGUGACCUUGUGGUCCUAUAGGCAACAUCCUAUCAAUAGUCACCCCUAGCUAGUAGUUGAUAGCCUAUGGUGGAUCAGACCAUGAAACCACCCCGUAGAUACAGUGCGAGUAACAUCAGUAGGCAUACUAGACACGCCCUGCAUGACCGUAUGUCACCACAACUUUAAUUGGACUCAAGGCCCACACCUUAAGUUCAUGUCCAAUUAGAGUGGAAGUCCUCACCCUUCACUUGAAUAGUUCAAUUCCUAUCCAUAGCCAUACGAUCAAUCUAACGAUCUAGAAAUCUCCAAGUCCAUAACUAACAAUUCACAGACUUAACUCUUCCUCCGAUUGACUUAGUCAACCCGGUAACUACCCCGAGCCUUACAAACCCUUAAUACUUGGUCAACUGUGAACUCAACUCCUCAAAUUAAUUAAAUUAAUUCAUUUUCCAACUUCCGACUUCUACUCAACGAGUAAAUUUUGAAUCAAACCGAAAUCAAACCAAAAAUUGGGGUGUCACAACUCUCCCCUCCUACAAAAGAUUUCUUCCCGAAAACCGAACGUCACCCCACUGAGCGGGAAGGAUUCGGCGCAAUAGUGUUCAACUAUGGCGCUUGCACUCCUACUUGGUAGCAAACGACCUUGAUGUGUCGUCCUUCUCAAGUACUCAACCAGUCCACUCCUCGAAAAUGACCCAGGGUCAAAUCAAAGUCUAACCACAACCUUGUCCUCGAAGACCGACAGUGACACCUUUAAAGAAAUGAGUCAACCCAUGGGCAAUACUCAUCAUCCUCUGGACCUUCAUUUCUUUUCCACUUCUUGUUCCCCUAACUCUCCUUCCUCCUGACUAGAACAUCCAAAGCUCGCACCUCGCUCAUGACCUCUCAGCCCUGAAAUGCUCAUUCCUUAACUGAUUUCCUUUGAAAUCUGAACACACCUUCCCCUUCCUAGAUGAUACUUGGCCCUUGGUAGUCACCAUCUGGCGGAAGGACUUCCCUUAACCUACCGAGCAUCAGCUUUGCACUUUCAGUAUCCUUACGAUCUUUUUGCACCCUAAGCAUUGUUUCUAGCUCGUCAACCCGCACUACCAUGUCCCAGACAUAGAAGUACAUAGACCAGUCCUUGCCAUGCUGCUUUGAAGAUGCAGCUAGUCGAGCAGCAAGCUCAACCUCGCAACUUUGAUCUUGAUGCUUAUACUACUAUUCCCCAUUUUCUUACUGAUAGGUAAUACUAAUCAUAUAGUACUACCAAGACCUUAGCCAACUCACAGAAUCUUGUCAUCCUUUCCCAUGAUGACGGUUCCGACAAGUCUGAUCACGCUUGUGACCGUUGUCCCGCCACGCCCAUGGUAUUCUCCUCACCACACUCGUGGUCCUCUCCUUACCACGCUAGCUUGUGGUCGACUAUCAACAACGACCGUUGCCACUUGACUGUCACAGCCGUUGCCUCAUGAUCACUGCACCAUCACACUCGUGAUGUACUACAUGUCAUGACCAUGACUGUCAUCCAACCAUACCCGUCACGGACUAUUCGUCAUGCAUGUGACUAACUGUCAUCCACGACCGUGACGACCUUUUUGUCAAGCCCGUGAUGUAUCAUCCCUCACGCCUGAGGCCAACUCUUUGACAAGCCCGUGGCUGAGCUUCACCACGCCCAUUGCUUGUUGAUCAUCGUGACCGAGGUUAACAUCCCGUCACGCCCGUGACUGACUUCUUUUUCCUAGAACUACCAGAGUUGCUACAGCUGUUACAGUAACACGCCUUACUGUCUUUCUGAGACCAACAAAGACCUAUCUCUACUCUUGCCCUAACUACUCCAUCGGCCCUCAGAUGCUUCCCAUCCUUGCCUUCAAGCAUGGUUCUCAAUUAAAUACUAGAGGCUAACUGUCUCUUUGACGUUACACCUCAAGGAGCGAAAGCAUCCUUUAAACUCUGAAUUCCCUUCCCAUUGGGGUCCAAAAGGAUCAUCCGACUAAUGGCUCUAAUGAAGAGUUCCACUGGAUGAAAUUCCCAGAUUCCAUCCAAUGCAUCAUGUAACACCUUAGGCAAAUCGCACAUCGACAAAGUACGAGAGAGAUCAAUGGGUUAUGAGUAAUACUCUAUCCUUAACUGACAAGAUACAUUUUCGGGGUGAGAUGAAGGAGUUCGUGUAAAGAACUCUGAAGUUAAUCAUGCUCAAGUGGGAGCGGUUUAGAAAUGGGUGACCUCUUGGGAAGUCAUUGUUCAGCACCCGAAAAAAAAUCCGUGAGGGAUUAGCUAUACCCAAAGCGGAAAAUAUCUUAUCAGAAAAGGUUGGGGUGUUGCACUUCCCUUAUCACUACCCCUUGUCUUACUAGAAUUCUUAAAGUUCAACAACAAGCCUUUGAAUCAAGAAAGUAAGAUACUCUGCCCCUUGGUUCCUUAAUCCCUUUCUUUUCUCUUUCUAGAGCUGGUGAGAGAGUGGUCGUUCAAAUCCUGACAAACUAUCGCAAUGUUCCCUUUUAAAGCACCUGAAUCCUGAAAACUCUUUUCUUAAUAUCUUUUGCAAAGACUGACUCACCACAUCAUUUUUUUCUAGACACUCACCUACUGCCCCAUGAAAGACUAGUACCGUUACAUGUGUCGACUCACCUUCUCCCCUCUGAGGUUCGUGACGCCUCUGAGGAGUAGGUAGCAUACCGUUAGGGUUACAAGAAAACCGGGCUCUAAUACUAGUUGUCAAACCCCACCCUAGGAGUCCCAGUCAAACCACUAGUUCAACCGAUGAGUCUUACUCAGUUUUUAACUUGAACCACACUCAACUCUAGGCUACUAAUAAAAACAUUAAGACAAGCAUUAACAGCUUAAACUGAACACUUCAAUAAAAUUGACAAACUAGGAUCCGAAAUCCCAAAACACAACAAAUCAAAAAGAGAUGCAACUCCAGUUUAAAAAUACAUAAAAAUUAUAUCCUCUAAUAUAUAAAAACCAACCAGCUUUCUCCCCUCCAUCAGCUCCAAUACCUGUGACUGAACACAUAGAUAUGCCAAGAAAAACAAGUCUAAUGGGGUUAGUGAUAACCAUUGAGUGGCUAAACUAGGCUCGCAUAAAACUGCAACUAUACUAAGAAAAUAGGGCAAGAAUCAAGUAAUGUGACUCUGCGGUCCUGUAGGGAUCAUCCUAUCAAUAGUCACCCCUAACUAGUAGCUGAUAGCCUCAUGAAGGAUCAUACCAUGAAACCACCCGUUGAUACCGUGUGAGCAGCAUCUGUACGCAUACUCCACACAUCUUGCAUGACCGUAGAAACAUCCUGGGGGAUUUUGCAAUCCAUGGGUGGGUGACCAACACACAUAAGGAGCUAAUCUAGCUAAAUCUGAAUUUUGUCCUAAGCAUGAACUGUGAACCACAGUUCAAAUGUCAUGAGCUUAUGCUCGAACUUAAACAACUACCUGUUCAGUAGAUCACACGCUACUGCACAGUGUAUGAGCCCGACUCUGUUUCAUAACCCAUGUAUAGUAGAUGACACGCUAUUGCACAGUCUUGAGAGCCCGGCUCCGAAACACAACACAUGUACCGUAGAUCACACGCUACUGUACAGUCCUGAGAAUCCGAUCAUCGCAUUCCUGACAAUCCUAAUUACAGUUAUAUGCUUAAGUCAAAAAGUAAUCCUAACCCUCACCUAUUAAGAAGGGAUGGCAUUUCUGAUUCUCACUUGACAUGAUUCCUCUCACUGCCACUAAUCUAUAGCUUCUGACCGUGCAUCAUUUGGAGUUUAACCAAUUGAGUUAUACUCCAUUUACUUGUAGCAAUCUGAAACUUGCUAGGACAGAAACGUGGCGCUAAUCCUCCAACUGCCUCCAUUACACUAACUGAUCCAAAACUUCUACUCAUUGACAAAACUAACCCAAGUCCUUAACUAUAAAACAUCCAAAAGUUCAAAGUUGCUAAAGGUCCUCAACGCGUCCUACACACCACCAAAGCCGUUGCACCCUUGCCGAACGCGGAUGGCGCCACCGCUACUGCUAUUCCUAAAGCUCCGCCUUGAAUCUCCUCAAUCUCCUCCGAAAUAGUGAUCGGCACCGCCACAACUCCAUCCUCGUUUGCCCUCGAUCGAUGGAAUUCAAAAUCCUCACCUCUUGGCGUCAAAACUAAUGGCAACAAGUAACUUACCCUGCUCAUCGUCUCAGUGCAUCACCAGUUAGAUCAUGGAAGGGAAGUUAAACCAUUCUCCCACUUGAUGGUAAUGGGGCCCAACUCCACAAUCUGAUCCAUCAUACGGCCCAAGGCCCACCUCAACUUUAAUUGGACUCAAGGCCAUAAUUUAAGCCUAGGGUGGCAGUCCUCACCCUUCACUUGAAUGGUUCAAGUCCUAUCCAGAGCUAUAAAAUCAAUCUAACGGUCUAGAAAUCUUCGAGUUCAUAACUAACAAUUCACAGGCUUAACCCCUCUUCUGAUGGACUUAGUCAACCCAAUAACUAUCUCGAGCCUUACAAAUCUUUAAUACUUGGUCAAUUGCUGAGUCAACUCAUCAAAUUAAUUAAAUUAAUUCAUUUUUCAACUUCCGACUUCUACUCAACGAGUAAGUUUUGAAUCAAAAAAAAUUUUAACCGAACCAAAAAUUGAGGUGUCACAAUUGUCUACAGUAUGCUUAGCUUAUACAUGUGAUGGUUAGACAGUUAUGUUCAUGUUUCUACUUGAUGAUGUGAAAUUCAUUAAACUAAGAUAAGUUGUUAAACUAUAAUAAGUCCUUAAAUUAUGAUAAGUCAUGUUCAUGAGAUCCAUGUUAUGGCAUGUCUUUUUUCCAGGAUUAAUGCUCCCAUUAUGUCCAUCAUAUUCAUGUUACGGUUAGGUAGUUAUGUCAUGUUAUGUAUUAUUUAAUGAUGUGCAAGUUGUACCCUCGAAUUAUGAUAAGUCAUGUCAUGUCUCCCUGAUAAGGGUUUAUCUCAUUUUCAUGUGAUCCAUGUUAUGGUUAAGUGGUUAUGUCAUGAUAUGUUGGGUUAUUACAUGAUGAUGUGCAAGAUGUGCCUUGAAUUAUGAUAAGGCUAGACUACUUCAAGGUUAGGGUGUGAUAUGUCUACAUGACUAGUGAGUAGUGAAUAAGUACACGUUACUUAGACAAGUAAUGUGUAUUAGAAACAUGUAACUUUCUGGCUAGACCACCACCCCCUAUGUUGUGAUCUCAUGGUACCGUCUGAUGGAUACAUACUCACGGACUCUCACGUUCACGUUUGGGCCGGUAUUGCCCCUCAUGUUACCGUCUGACUGAUACGUACUCGCAGACUCUCACGUUCAUAUUUGGGCUGAUAUUGCCCCAUGUUUCUCACGUUUGGGCCACAUUUUUCCCCUUAUGUUACCGUCUGAUGGAUACAUAGUCCCAAACUCUCACGUUCACAUUUGGGUGUUGGACUAGUUAGUUGAGUUGGGGGGGGACGUCCCGCUAUUGAAAGUUCAAGUGAUAAGAUACCUCAGAUAAGUUCAUGUACAAGUAUGUCAAGUUCAAGGGAUAAGAUAACUUAGAUAAGAUCAAGUAUAAGAUUCAAUGUUAUGUGUUUUCAUGUUCGCUAAGUGAUGUUGGUGAUAAUGACCACCUGAUAUGAUAUGUUCAGUGAUUGUCAUGUGCUGAUGUGUUGUGAUAUGUUCAAAUGUUUCUUAGAUGUGAUAACUAUGUGUUGGGAUAAAUAUUCAUGUAAUGAUGUGUUCCUUAUGUUCCAAUGUGCCAUGGAUUUGAUGACUAGUUGUGAUCAAUAUUCAUGCAGUGAUGUGUUCCUUAUGUUCCAAUGUUCCUUUAGAAUGGAUUAGAGGUUCAACCUUUGAUGAUGACUAUGUUACUUGCCAUGUUGAGUUCUCAUGUGUUAGGAUUACACAAAGAUGGAUACUAUAUCUUAUAUGCCUACUUAGCUAGUAUCAAUGAUGCCUUAUACAAUGAUAUGUUUUUGUCUUCCCUAUGUUCUAGCAUGAUACUCAUGUUAUGUGUCUACAUAACUAAGUCAGAAUAUGUUGUGGUUAGAUAACUAGAAAGCAUGUCCCUAAGUAAAGGCAAUGUUUGAAUAUAGCAAUGUCUGAUUAAGGUGAUGUCUGAAUAAGGUAAUGUCUGAUUAAGAUGAUGUCUGAAUAGUUUGAUGUCUGGAUGAGUUGAUGUUUGAAUAAUUUUGAUAUUGUUAAACUUAAGUUGGAAAUCAUAUGUGUUAUAUUAGAGCAUAAUAGACUAACCCCAGAACCACCCACUAGGGUGUUUCUAAGUUGAUGCAGUAGUAGAGUUGAGCUGAUUCGGAUGUGCAGCGAUGGACUUGGUAUUCAAUGUCGGGUUUGAGUUUCAAGUGUUUAUUCUGAGACUUGAUUCUUUUCAUGUUGUCUUAUGUUGGAGCACUCUCCGCUUUUGUUAAAGCAGAUGAUCAUUUUCUAUCUUUUUGGUUGUUCUAUUUAAAUAAAGUUUUUGAAAUUCCUUUGAGUUGAGUCCCUAUAGGGCAAUUUGGUUAUUAAAUAAAUAGAAAGUUUUUGGGGUGUGUCACAAGCGCCCGCGACAAAGAGUAAAACCUGCGACCAUUGUAUGAGCGCUAAUGGAUUUAUUCAAACGUUGUCGCAGUCCGCCUAAAACAAGAGCUCGACUGCGAUAAACAUAGUGAAUGACUACCCUUCAGCAGCCGAUCUCCACUCAUUCCACACAGCUUCAACUCUCCUCCCAUCUGAAAUCCUCCUAUUCCUCUCAAUUUCCUCCAUCGAUUUUCUCCUCUUCUCUUCUCCAAUUUUGUCACCCCGACUUCCACCCUUUUCUCGAAAUCGCCAAUAUCAGCUUACUGUUACUAACAAGAAGCAUAAGAGUUCGAUUUUGAUAUAGUUGUGUCGGGCAAUCGCAUUGUGUUUGAGUUGAAGAAUCAGGGGGUUAAACCUGUAGGUCCACUUCAUUCCUUCAUGGGAUACUACAUAAGUGAGUGUACAAGAAAUUAUGCUUACUACCCGGUCUCUCCAAUCGAAUGGAAGAAGUUGUCGCCCCAAUUGAAGACACGGGCUUGGGAGCAGUUUGUGCUAGUAAGUAUUAUUUUAGUUUUUUUAAUUAGAUAUAUUUUUGUAGUUAAAAUUGUAACUAGUUAGUGCUUAAUUGAUUUAUAUUAUAAACCUCUUUUCACAUUGAGGCGAAUGAGAUGGUUGAAGCUCGCAAAUAUUGGGAUCGCAAUGUUGGAAGACUGUUGGGGGAAGUCAAGGAUCACAAUUUGGCAAGCUUAGUUGAAGCAUGCACAAAUAAACCAACUCCCUCCAUAGUGGAUUAUGAAUAAUUCCUUGACAGGUUGUCCAAUGGCUGAUUGGAUAACGUACUUGUUGCGAGUUAACGACAAGUAGUUCGAGAUAGUACAUAUAUUUACAGAUUUCUAAUUGUAUUUGAUUGUAGUUUUUAAUACCGACUCAAGAACUUUUAUGUGCUUGAGUCAUAUCAAAUCAAGCCGCUCAAAUGGAAAACCAUAAAGGAGGGAGAAGGCCAUGUGAUACAUAUGUCAAGGAAACCAUUGAGAAGAUGGGUAAGCCACCUUCUCUACGCCAGAAGUUCAUAAAGUUCUUCCACUAACUAGAUGGAAGUUACAAAUCAGAACAUGGAAUACUUGUGGUGGUAAUGACUAGUUUCCAUAUAUAUAAUAGAUAUAGCUUUAAACUAGAAGACAAUAGAAUUAAUUGAACAUCUGUUAUGUAGGAGACUAUCAGCAACUAGAGCGGGAAGGAGCACCGACUGAGGUUGGGCCUAAUGACUCAUUGGCUCAAACACUAAACAAGCCAAAGCAUCGAGGCCACGUUCGGAUGAUGAGUUUGGGGUUUACCCCACAAUGGUAAUAAUGUUCAAUUUCAAAUUUGUUCUUUCUUGGGUCGUUAGUGUUUGUACCUUGUUUGGUGAUAUUUGUACUGUUUUUUCUUUAAGGUAUUUGGUGGUGCUAGCACUUGUUCAUCAUCAUCAUCAGCUCCUUCUGCCUCUGGGAAUGCAAGUGUGUCCUCAAAUGCUGCUCCUAGUGCUCCCCCUCCCUUACGAGAAGAGUUUGAUUGGAUGUCGUAGCAGAUGGCAUUGAUGUUGCAACAGUUGGCUACAAUGUAUUACAUGAUGUCGUCGGAGCUCGCCGGUGCUUUUACCUAAGUUUUGACUCCUGGGAUAGUUCCUGGUACUCCAUUCAAUCCAAGUCCUCUAUAUCUGUAUUAGGAGCCUAUGCAGCAGCAACAACCAUCUCAACAAUAGCAACAAGCUCAUGAGACCAAUCUUAUGGGUUACUUCCCAUUCUCUCAAGAAGCCAAAAAUCAGUUUCGCCUUCAUGGGAUGAUGGCGAAGCCUUUUCUUCCCUUCUUCAUACAUUAGAAAGAGUGAGUUUUAUAAUUAGUUUCUUGAAAUUUCAAUUAGAAUUCAUGUUUGUACUUACUUGUGUUUUUUAUGUUUAUAUAUAGGUCCCCAUUCCAGACACGAGGGAGCAACGAGAUGAUGAUGAUUGUUCGUAGUUGUAUUUCUAGUUAGUUCUAGCUCUCUCCCCAUCCCUAUUCCCAUAUAUUAUGUAGUAUUUGAAACUUCUAAGAUAGUUUCUUAAGAUAAUUUCUUAACGUUUGCAUAUUAAUGUUUGUUAUUGUAGUUUGGAAUUAUUACAUGAGAUGGUAAUUAUGGAAUUAUUAUGUGUUAUUAUGGAAACCUAAAAACUGCUCUAAAUUCUAAAAUUCUGCUCUAAAUUCUAGAACAUUGAAAAAGCUCUAUAACUGCAAAGGUAGAUCAAUUUGAAAGUGAUAGGUGGCACCAUACCAGAAUAGACACAUCUCCAGCAUUAUUGUAAUAGGCUAGUCGCAGGCCCUUUCUCGCAAGUGUUGACUACGAUUGGCCGGUCACUGGUAGCGCCUGUGAUAAAGCGCCUACAACCAGCCAAUCGCAGCCAACGGCUACGACAAGGCGAGCUUUGUCACAUCAAUAAUUGUCGCAUGCCUAUUUCUAUUUGUCGCAUGCACUGUAUGUAACCAUCCUUCUAUUUUAUGGCAGGCUGGCCUGCGACAUUGUUUUGUUUUUGCUUGUGACUGUUUUCCCUUUUUAUUGCAGUGUAAGUUAUACACUUUCAUGCAUUAUUACGUGUUGAAGAUGGAUUCUAACGUGAUUUUGAAAGCUCCUAGACCGAAACGAGUGACCAUUUAGUUUGAUUCUUUUAGUAAUGUGUAAAUGAAAAGUCUACAUGCUAAAUAUAAAUUCAUAAAUUUGUUCUCAAUAAUAAAAAGUUUACUAGUUAAGAAUAGUUGAAAUAUUGAUGGACGAUGUUAAGUUCAUCCUUCCAUAAAUUUAAUUCACAAACUUAAAAUGAUUCGUAAGUGAAAUGUUAGUAUUAAGACGUUCACAGAUGAAAACAACAAAGAUUGAACAUCAAACUGUAAAGAUAAAAAUAAACUGUAUCUCAUAUUAUUUGGAAUUAAGNNNNNNNNNNNNNNNNNNNNNNNNNNNNNNNNNNNNNNNNNNNNNNNNNNNNNNNNNNNNNNNNNNNNNNNNNNNNNNNNNNNNNNNNNNNNNNNNNNNNNNNNNNNNNNNNNNNNNNNNNNNNNNNNNNNNNNNNNNNNNNNNNNNNNNNNNNNNNNNNNNNNNNUAAUAUAAUACUCAUAAGUGGACAUAACAUAGACAUAAUCCACCUAUAAAGUGGACACAAUGAUUAUAUAUAUAAUUUUAUCAUAAUAUGAACAUAACAGUGACAUAAUUUACUUAUAAAUGUAACAUAAUAGUGAAUUAACAUACUCAUAAGGUGAAUAUAAUAGGGACAUAAAAUGUUCGUAAACCAAGCCUAAAAGAUGCCUAAUAAACUUAUAACUUAGACAUAACAUAGGCAUAAAAGAAUUGCAGUAGUACUGAUAUUUAGGUUAUGUAGCAUAAUAGCCUAAAACAAGUGGUCUACUCAAAACACUAAAAAUUGAUAUAUAAUCGUAAUAUAAUUGUUCUAUGACAGUUAUCCGUUAUUAACAUAGAAGUUGUACAAACAUAUUGUGACACCUUGAUUUUGGGUUGAGUAUGAUUCUAGGAUAGUAUUGGUUUUUGUGAGUCGGUGAGAAUCACUGUCAGACGGUCCGUCACGGGCGUAUCGGACAGUCUCUCAUAGGCGUGAUCAUCAGGUAGAUCAUGAUCGUGGUCAAUGAUAGUCACGAACGUGGCAGCCGGAGGAUGACGGCCGUGACCAUCAGUAGGUCAUGGACGUGGUUUCCAUGUCACAACGGGUGAGGUAAGCAGUACGCCAUGGGUGUGGUGGACAACUUAUGAAACCUAAUUUUCUUCUUCCUUGCAAACUUCUGACGAGCGACGAUUGUUCCAGGCACAGGGGAAAGUCUUGUUGAUCGAUCCAGACCAGUAGGAGAGGCCUAGAGAUCAUCGAGGAAGCUUUAGGAGGUAAUCUACCUUCUUCCUCGUUCGUCAAUCCUUUUCUUUGAAUCCCAUGUAGGAAAAUCCUGACAGGUUUGGAUUUGGAGUUUUGGGAUUUCAAUUUUAUGAUUGUUCCCUUCAGGUUAUAUGGAUUAGGCAAGCAAACUCUAGGUUUCAGAUCAUACUCUUCAGAGGAAAGCUUUCAGAGGUAGGGGUUAGGAUUACUUUUCUGCUUUAUGCGAAGAAUUGUAAUUAGUUGUCAGGAAUCCUUGUUUGGAUUUUCAGAAUUGUACAAUAGUGUGCGAUCUACUGUAUAGAAAGAUUUGUUAUGCAGUUUAGAGUUUCGGGUUGUACAAUAGCGUGUGAUCUACUGCAUAGGCAGAUGGUUAUGAUUCGAGCAUAAGCUCACAACGAGAAACUAUGCAUUUAUACAGUUCAUGUUAGGAUUAAGAAUCAGAACUAGAAUAUACUAGCUCACGAUAUACGUUGGUCACCCACCCUAUAGAUUGUGCGAUCCCCGAGGCUACAUUUACUUUCAGGUAGGACUUGACGAUAAUGCCUUCAGUUGCUGCUCUCACGGUCUGAUCCACCAUGAGGUCAUCCGCUCAUAGCUAGGGGUGGCUAAUGUUAGGAUAAUACCUAGAGGACCACAUGGUCACAUUACUAGAUACUAGUUCAGUUUUUCAUGUUCAGGGUCAGCUGCUCAGUGCUUAUCACUGACCUUGUUACAUUUCAUUAUACAUGAUCAACCUUGGGACUUCAGGAGCCAAUGCCGCUUAAGAAAGGAGCAUGAGUAGUGACACCACCUCGCAGUGAGUCUGGGAGUCACACAGAGAGGUACCAUCGAGUACCUCAGCUGUCUCUUUCAGUGUUUUCAUAGUUUUAAGACAGUCUUUCAUGUUUUUUCAGUUGUUUGUGAGACUUAUUUUACAGUGGUUGUUUUCCCAGGUUUGGGAUGUCUUUUAGUGAUGUUCAUUUUUGAAUUCGAGCCAUGAUGCUCUGUUUAUUUUUUGCUGUCGUUUUACUUAAGUAUUGAGGAUUUUCAGUUCAGUUAAUGUAUGUCAGUUGUUAUGAUAUAAGUUUGAGUGAACCCAUGAGCAAUGCAUGGAUAGAACCGUGUGGUUUGAUCGAGUCAUCUAGGGGUGGGUUUCACACAUAUUAGUUAUAUUAUGUGACAUUAUAAUAAAUAAUAAAGGGAAUAUUGUCAUUUACCCUCUUUUACUUCACCCAACUCGCAUUAAGCCCUCUAUACAAUUCAAUGUUCCAUUAACCCCUACACAUUGCCCACUUUACCAUUCGUCUCCUUCCGUUACGCUUUCCAUAUGUACACCGUUAAAACCAUACAACUCAACAUGCCAUGUAAGUUUUUCGGCACCACAUCAGCGUUUAAUUCCUUUAACAAUUCAUGAAAUAUAAAAAAUUCCAGACACCCUUCUUUCUUCACUCUUCUCCACUCGACCCCCAACCUUUCUCACAUCCGAUGCAGCCGAACUUCGCCCCGAGGGUGAACACAAGGAGAGGAGGGUUGCUAGAUUUUGGGUGUUGUUUUUGCACUCAAAUCCGAUUCAAAAGAAAUAUUGGCCACACUGGAAAAAAGUUAUGGUUUGAUCAUCCUCUAAACAUUCGUAGCAGUGUAAUUCAAGGUCUUAAAUUGGCUACCACUACCAAUUGGAAAGUGAGCAAGCCAAUUUGUAGCGAACACCAAGUGUUCAACAAAAUUCUUAGAUGCUAAAAGACUCUUACUGGCAUCACAAACACUUGACAAGGGUGCUAAGUCACUAUUUGACACCCCCUAACAUUCCAAUCACCUAAAUUGUCACUACCUAAGUGAUUACCAAAAUGCACUCAAGGUGUUAGAUAAAAUGCCACUAAGAGAAUCCUCACACUAAUGGUUGAAUUGGGGUGUGUGCUUGGUCCACACACCCUUACCCCAAUCUUGGACUACACACUUACUCAAGUCAAGCACAAUUAAGUAAUUGAAAGAGUACAUUUGACCUAGAACAAGCCAUAGCACAUUCUAAGUUGCAAUAACCAUAGUCCAACCAUUCUCAAAUACCAUAAUCCAUAUCUAACAUGUAUCCAAAUCCUCGUCAUGAGGGGAUCAUCCUAGUACAUAGCAAUACCCUAAUCUAACAACUAAAGAGUCUAGCCACUCAUCAUGACACUAAAACUAAAGAAAAGGGAUACAAUCACCAUCAAUCAACUAGUAUGAAGAAGAUGAUGAGGGUAGGAUCCUUCCUCAAAGCUCUACUAUUCCAAUUCCUUCAAUCCUUGGUCUUCUCUAGCUCCGAAGCUUCUUCAAGGUCUUCAAUUGAUCUUCUAAGGCUUCAAAUUGGGUGAAAAUCGAGAGAGGAGUCGGGUCUCAACAAUUGUUAUGACUGUAGUGUGAAUUGUUCGUCCAAUCUCCAUGGACCAUAUGCCAUGUGGACCAACACGGGCUCCAGAUGCCAUGUGGCCUAAUUUCCAGCUUAGGACUUUGUUCUUUGAUCGCACAUAUCUCCCUCGUCCGACCUCCGUUUGAGCUCUGGUUGGUCUCAUUGGAAUUUUCUCGUUGUUCUUUAUGCAUCGGAUACCUACAGCCUCAUAUAUACAAUGAGAAACGAGGUCGAACGGACCAAAAUGAUCCAUUUGACAAAAUGAAACAAGAACCCCUUUUUUUCUUCCAACCAAUCACAAAGGAGGGUCAAAACUAGGUCAAACAAGGUAAAAAACAGUCAAGAUGUGGUCAAAUUGGCAACAAAUAAUCGUGCUAUCACAUCCCCCCACACUUGAACGUUGCUUUUCCUCAAGCAAAUCUACUAAUCACACUCAAAGAGAACUCGAAACAGGGUGAAAAGAAAAUAUUUCCUAGCAUUUCAAGCCUAUUUCACGAUGCCAAGAUUGCAAGUCAAUCACCAAACCACUCAAUUAUGUAUAAGACAUUGAAUCCCUUAAAAAAUUUCACACCAAACUCUAAUAUAUAGAUAUUAUGAUUAGAUACCUAAACAAGCGAAUGUACUAAAGUUUCUCCAAUGCACUUAUGUCAUAUGGUACUAGCGGAAGAAAUGGACAGACAGACGGUCCUGGCUGGGUAUUUUUCCCGUCUUGAGGGAGGGGAUGCCUGAUCUAACAUAAACAUAACUAUCACCAAGUAUACUAGCAUCUCCCUCUUCUUUUACUCUACUUUGCUUUCUUUUGUAUUUAGUUUUCAACUAUCUUUUCUCCCUCUUUUUUUUCACAUGGAUGCUUUUUCCAAAUGAGGUGGUUGUGAUUCCAAUUAGGCUCAGAUCCGGUGAAUACCGGGCACCAGUACCGCAAUCCACACAUCGAAGGGUUGAGAAGAGGAGCCCGAGGUGUUGAGCAUACGAGUGGCAGAUCGAAAUCUACCUUGCGUGUUUGAAUCACAACCUUCCUCCAUAUCAUUCUUAAGCACAUUGGCCUCCUGUCCAUUUUGACUUCAUAAUACCAUAGACAAGUUCAAAAAGGAGAAUCAAUCAUACAUAUCGAGCAAGUAAAGGUGAAAACUCAAAACAUCCAUAUGUGCGAGUUUGAAGCAAACUAAUUUCAGGAAAAUGGGAGGUAGUCCACAAAUGAUUACUCAACAACCUAUUCGUCCUCAAGUAGUAUGAAUAAACUAGGUAUGCAUCCAAAGAGAUUCACAUAUUCAAAUUUGAGAGGGAGUAUCAAAAUUCAAGAGCAAGUCAGAAAAAAUGCUACCAAGAUAUGCACAAAAAUUCUCAAACCCGAAUAGUAUAAAAAAAUCCUCCCCCCCCCCACACUUGUACAACACAUUGUCCUCAAUGUGAAAAGAUAUAAGGGGAAGAGGGGUACCAAACGGGGGUGAGGAGUGAAGCCGGAUGAGAAGAUGAAGGAUCAAGAUCGAGUACCUAGAGUUUCACAAAAGGCAAGAACAAAAAAAAAACAAAAAAAAAACGCAGAAACAAACACGAAUAAUGGUCGAGUCAAGAGAAAAGAAGAUAUCUCAAGGCCGUCGAGGAGCUGUCUCAACAAGAAUCCAAUCCACUUAGGCAAGAGUAUACAAGAAUGUGCACAAGUAGAUAUGGAAGAGGCAAGAUGCAUAAGAUAUGCAUAACCAAUAAAGAAGAUAACUAGUUAUUCUCAACCAAGACUAACUAGCAAUCCUAAACAAGAGCAUCCUAUAAUCCAUAAAUGAGUAAGACAAGGGUGAGAAAAAGCUAUGGAACCAUCUCAACUCAUUUAGAAUCAAUUCCAGAAAGUUAUCAUCACAAACGUGUACCAAGUCCAAUCAACAAGAAUGAGCAUAAAGAGUGUAUGCAAAGCAUCAAGUGAACAAAGUAUGCAUCAUUCAACUAUAAUCAAUUUGAGAGCUCAAUGGACUACUAGUAUGCAUCAUUCUUCUUUGACUCAUUAACCAAAACAAUGAGCACAUAUGGAUAAUCAAAAGUAGUGGCAUGAUCAAAAUUCAAGCAUUAGAAGCAAUGAGCAAAGUCACAAUCAUCAAUUCAAUAAUUGGACGCAUCAAAUUCACCUAGCAACAACCUAGGUUCAACCAUACAAGGGAGCACAAAGAUGCAAUUCCAAAUUCUCAUCGCAAGAAUUCAACAACCCACAUAAUUCUUGUUCAAAAAUAUCAUAUUGGCAAAGCUAGACAUUCAAGUAGGCACAACCAUCUGAAACUGGCAAUUGCAAUGUUCAAAUUAGCACAAAAGCAUCAUUUGACCAAAUUUGACCACAAUUCAAACUUUCCACACACUCCAUCAAUCAAACCAGAGCAAACAGAACACAGACGACACAGAUUCAGGCCACAUCAUCAACCAAAAAGUCGUAGGCAGUCAAACGAGCUUUCCAACGCCGCUGGUCUUGCGAAAAACAAACGCUCGAGCAAGAAGUUAUGCUCAAAAUACCGAACCACAGCAUUUUUUCGCACAAGGCGACCAAUCAACGGAGGGUCAACGUCCGGUGAACCGGUCUGGUCAAACUCAGGUUGGUUCGGUUUGAAAAUCGGUUAAACAAUGCACCCCCUUCUUUGAAUAGUGCAUCUUGGCACAUUUUUAACACAAUCGAGCACGUUUCGGAGCUGGAAAUUCAAGUUUUUUUUUAGAAAACCCAUUGGAACUGUAGAUUUUGCAUAAAAAGUACGCUUUAGCCUUUUGUUUCCAAAAUCAAGCAAAUUUUAGGAUCUGAAAGUUCAAUUUUUUCAGAAAACCCGUAGGAAGUGUAGAUUUUUCAUAAAAGUAAGUCUGAGCAUAUUUUUUAGUAAAACAACCAUUUUUUAGCUCUCGAAAAUAUAAAAAUUUCAAGACUGCUUUUUUUCUUUUUCCUAAUGCAACGAAACUUCCUGCUAGCCUUAGGCACACUAAGAUAAGAUCAAGCAAAUCUCCAAACACUCGUUCUCUCGUCCCGGUCAUCACAAGAACACAAGAAACAAAAACACAAACAAAACACGACAAACACACAAUCAUGCAAGUUUUAUUCAAUUUUCCUACUCCUAAGCUACACUAUUCAUGACGAGACACCUAUGGUAUCACCAACUUGGUAAUGUUCAAGAUGCAUCCCACAAAGUAGAAGAGGGUCAAGAUGAGUAGAGGAGGUUACCUCGAUCUUGGAAGGAACGAACUUUUGUUACCAUAAAGGGGCCGGAGAUGAGGACUCUAUCGCCCUCUUUGAGUGCUUGUUUGGUGGGGAGGUGCAAAUCAUGGAGUUGCUUGAUCGCUUUCUUGCAACUCCCAUCCUUGACCUUGUGGACACUUUUUUGGUGAGAAGAAGGAUUCUUGGGCUCAAGGUCUGGUGGUUCUUCAUGCAUGUUCCUCGCCUUAGCAUGCACUCCCUUGAUCGAGAUAGCUUCGGUUUCCUUAUUAUACUAUUUCACACACUCGCUCAAGGAUGGAUCCAAGGCUUCAUGAUGAAGAGAUACAUUAAUAGCAUAAACUAAAGCCAUUUCAACGGGCUCGCCAAUAUCAUUAUCAUCUUGAGGAUCCGGGUGCUCCAUACCCCCGAUCAAUUGAAAUGUGGCUUCCUUUUGACCCACUCUCAAGGUAAGCUUACCCUCAAACACAUCUAUGAUUUCCUUCGACGUGUUGAGAAAUGGACGACCCAAAAUCAAUGAAACGUCGGUGUCUCCGGUGUCAAUCACAACAAAAUCCACCGGAAACAUGAACCUUCCAACAUGCAUAAUAACAUCUUCAACUACACCACUAAGCAAUUUUGUAGUUUUUUCCGCUAGUUGGAUGCACAUCUUAGUUGUUGUAAGUUGACCUAGGCCUAGUUUCUUGUACAAUGAAUAUGUCAUGACAUAUAUACUAGCACCUAGAUCUGCUAAACCUCUUUCAAUCACAACUUGACUAAUCAUGGAAGGGAGAAAGAAACUACCCAGAUCUUUGCGUUUGCAAGGGAGGUCCCUUGAGAGGAUUGUCGAGCAUUGCUCAUUGAGAUUGAUGUUGGAAGCUUCUAUGAGCCUUCGCUUGUUGGUGAAGAUCUCCCUUAGGAACUUGGCGUAUUGAGGCAUCCUUUCGAUUGCCUCGACGAAAAGAACGGUGAAGUUCAUAUUGCAAAGUCGAAGCACAAGUUGCUUUAAGCUCUUCUCGAGAAGAUCCUUAUCCAAUUGGUUGGGAUAAGGUGGCUUAGGGUUGUAUGGAGCCGACUGGGGCUAGGAGAUAGGAGAAGCCUCAGUUGAACUCUUCGUAGCCUUCUUGGAACCAACUUCAGUUGACACCUUUGGCUUUCCAUUACUCUUUGGAGCUUUCGGAACUAAUGCAUGCGGAACCGGUGCACUUUCUUCGACCAUCACUUCAUUCUCUUAAUCACUAGAUGCUUCAUUUUUCAUUAACAUCUUUCACAAGAAAUUCAUUAUCAUGCACAAGCUUGCUAGGUACAUCGAUAGGAGGAUCGAUUAAAUUUAGGAGUUGUGGACACAUAGUGUCUCAUGCUCCUAGUUGUGAUAGAUCCACAAGUUUCCUUGCUCUUUGGAUUGGUUAUGAUAUUUCUAGGUAGAGUGCACGGUUGCCGACUUGAAAGAGCGUGUGUGAGGUAUCCAACUUGAUUCUUAAGAUCCACCAUUUGAGCUUGAGUUGAGGCAUUGUGGGUGUCUUGAAAUGCUCUUUGCUCUUGAGUCACCUUGUUGUGCUCUUGGAAGAACUUAGCUUGAUUCUCAAUCAUUUGGUUUCCUCCAUUGAAGCUCCCUUGAACAUAAUCAACUUCUUUAAUGAAGUGCUCUUCCUCCGGUGCGAAAUCGGGAGCAAGGGAUUGGCAAGUAGAGGUGGCAUGCCCUUCGUUCCCAUAACAUUCACAAACAAAGAGUUGCACAACCAGUUGAUUCACCUUUGGUUCUUGUACCUCUUUCUUUUGAGGUGGAGUGGCGGUUGGUCUCACCACCGGUUGAGCCAAGGCAAGUGCUUUGAUUUGAGCCGCCAUGCCAUCCAUCCUUGAUAGCAUCAAGUGAACAAGAUGGUUGGGAUCUUCCUCCUUAUGUCCCGGCAUCUCCUUAAGGACCUUUGGAGCUUGAGUGCGAGUACAAACAUAAGGAUCUAUGCUCACCACCUUAGCUUCUAUAGGACCUUGUUGCCUAGACCAACUCUUCAUCUUCACCGCCAUUUCCCGGAAGACUUGAAGCCAUCAUUUGGCGAGGAGUGAUCUCAAGUCUCCUCCCGCCGCUUGAUUGGUCAUCUUGGUGUCCUCAUAAGUGAGUCCUCAUAAGUGAGUCCUCUAGCAAAGGUCUCCGCGAGUUUCCACUCAUUGAAGUUGAAGUUGUGAUGAGGGCAAGAGUAGAGAAGGGCUUGGGACCUCUCCCAAGCUUCAAAGAAUGGCUCUCCAUUAAUUUUCUCAAAGUUGGAGAUUCUACUUUGGAUCUCAUCCGUCUUGUAAGGCAGGAAGAAUUCCUCCAAGAAGGCCUUUGCUAGAUUGUCCCAAGCUUGGAAGGUAUUGUUUCGUUGGUUGUCGAGCCAUUGAUUUGCCUUCCAUUGGAGUGAGAAGGGAAGAGUCGGAGUUGAAUGGCUUCUUGCGACACAUGAUUGAACUUCAUUAGAUCCAUGAUCUCGAGAUAGCUACUUGGACAUUCGUGCUCGUGCCCAUGGUAUACGUUUUGUUGCACCAUUUGAAUGUAGUUGAACUUCAACUCGAAGUUCCGGUUAUCAAUAAGGGGUGGAGCACACUUGAAGAAGUACCUUCAAGAGUUGGCUUAGGUAAUCACCUAGAGUUCUUUGAGGUUCUUGAGCCAUCUCAAAGAUGUUAACAAAUUCAUCAGCCUCUCCUUUGCAAGAUGAAACAAUUGAUGAGUGAUCCAGGGUUGUUAAAGAAGUUGCGAUGUGAGGUGGUGGUGGUGCUUGAGGUGGAGAUGAGAUGAAUCUCUUUGGUAGACGCCUUGUACGCUUCAAUCUUCUCAUGCACUAAUAGUGCAUGAACGGAACCUACACAACAAAGCAAACAACCAAGGGAACACAACAAAGGAAUAAACACACAAGAAGGGGGUAGCAAUAAGUAAAAUGGAUUAGGUAGAAUGCCUAAAUCGGUGUCUAAUCUACUCUUUCAAGGGGGUGAUUACACUCCCCAACAAUGGCGCGAUUUUGAUCCUCUAAAAAAGAACCAAACAAACAUGAUCGGCUAAGAAAAGGGACUAAUCCCAAACCCAAGGUCUCAAGUGACAAUUUUCACGAGGAACAGACCACCAACCCUAUACUCAACUAUUAAAGACACGGUUUAAGCUCACAAAAGUUCAAAAUGCUAGUUCCUUAAAUUAUCCACUAAAGUACAUAUCAUUCACAAGAGUAAUUGGAACUAAAUUAAGCUAACGAACUAAGCAAACAAGAUACUAAAGAGGGUGAACACAAGGAGAGGAGGGUUGCUAGAUUUCGGGUGUUGUUUUUGCACUCAAAUCCGAUUCAAAAGAAAUAUUGGCCACACUGGAAAAAAGUUAUGGUUUGACCAUCCUCUAAACAUUCGUAGCAGUGUAAUUCAAGGUCUUAAAUUGGACUACCACUACCAAUUGGCAAGUGAGCAAGCCAAUUGGUAGUGAACACCAAGUGUUCAACAAAAUUCUUAGAUGCUAAAAGACUUACUGGCAUCACAAACACUUGACAAGGGUGCUAAGUCACUAUUUGACACCCCCUAACAUUCCAAUCGCCUAAAUUGUCACUACCUAAGUGAUUACCAAAAUGCACUCAAGGUGUUCGAUAAAAUGCCACUAAGAGAAUCCUCACACUAAAGGUUGAAUUGGGGUGUGUGCUUGGUCCACACACCCUUAAUCCAAUCUUGGACUACACACUUACUCAAGUCAAGCACAAUUAAGUAAUUGAAAGAGUGCAUUUGACCUAGAACAAGCCAUAGCACAUUCUAAGUUGCAAUAACCAUAGUCCAACCAUUCUCAAAUACCAUAAUCCAUAUCCAACAUGUAUCCAAACUCUCAUCAUGAGGGGAUCAUCCUAGUACAUAGCAAUACCCUAAUCUAACAACUAAAGAGUCUAGCCACUCAUCAUGACACUAAAACUAAAGAAAAGGGAUACAAUCACCAUCAAACAACUAGAAUGAAGAAGAUGAUGAGGGUAGGAUCCUUCCUCCAAGCUCUACUAUUACAAUUCCUUCAAUCCUUGGUCUUCUCUAGCUCCCAAGCUUCUUCAAGGUCUUCAAUUGACCUUUUAAGGCUUCAAAUUGGGGGAAAAUCGAGAGAGGAGUCAUAUCAUCAUACAUCUUAAUAUUAUCUCUAAUUGGGACCACCUCAAUAUUAUCUGCAACAAUCUCAUCCUCAGUGUCAACCUCUAUGGCAAGUAGCUGUUGUAACUCCGUUUCUGAAGAUGAUGCAACCACUCCACUAGAGGAGGCAUCACAAUGAACAGCAAACCUACAUGAACAAACUCUAUACGAUUGAGGUUACCAAACAAAUCACCCCACACUUAUCUUUUGCAUAAACCAAUAUGCAUUAAUCAAGCUGUAGAAAAAGAGAAGAGUGGGCUUAGAAGCAACUAUUGAACAUCUCAUCCAAAUAGGAAAUCUGUCAUAAUAAAGAAUACUCAACAUCAUUAAGGCAAUCCACGUAAGGUUUAGGGCACUUAGAAACUAUCCACAAAGUCACACAAACAAUGUAAGACAUGUAAAAUUUCAUAAAUUCUUAACCCAGAAAAAUACCGAGCAAAACUCAACAUUCCUAUGACACCUAAUCAUAUAAUUUCAAAGUGCAAAGGAUGUCAUUAACAUCCUAUAUCAUACCCAAUUGAAUUCUAGCAUCAUCAAUUUCACAAAACCUCAUAUUUGAAAUUUCAAGUUCUUCAAGCUAAUCAUCAAUCUCAACAAUUUAACCAAUCAGGGCAAAGUGAACAAGGAGAAACUGGGCAAAAUUCAAUGUAAACUAGCUCAAAACUCACUCAAAGUUGAUGAAAAACGAAGGGGGGAGAUUGGGGGAGGGUUCGGCGGUGACCGACAACGGUUCUAUGGUGACAGGAGUGCGGAGUUUUGAAUGACGGCAAAGGGGUAGGAGGGUGGAGUCGGCGUCAGUGGAAUGUUUGAAAAAAAUAUGGUUCAAAAAUCGGCUAAGGCUAGAAUAUUUAGAAACCCGUGUCAACUAUUGCAUUGUAGAAGUGUCAAAAAUGCGGUAUGGACAUAGCGCAAUGUUUGACAAAUCAUAGCGCAAUGAUUGAAAGGAUUUCCAGAACUCAAUGUCAACAUUUUUUCUAUAGAUGGUCAAUUAUUGCGCUAUGGGCAUAGCACAAUGCUUGACACAGAUCCAUAGCACAAAGGUUGACAUCCUAUUAUGUGAACUUCCAUAGUUCAUGAAAGAAUCAACACUCUUUGCAUUGACGACUGGGGACAAGAAUGACACUCAAGUAUCACGUUCUAGACUCGAUCUAACUCCUACACAUGCAAAUUGACUCAAAGAAUAUGAAAAAUACUGACUCCAGACAUGGGCUUCCUUCCAUGAAGCGCUCUUUCUUUAACGUCUUUGAGCUAGAUGAUACAAGGACCUCAAUUUAGCAUCUUCAAAGUAAUGAACUUUUACUCCAUCGGUAGGCUUGGUACUGAGAUAUAGCUUGAGACGUUGACCGCUGAAUUUAAUGUUCCUUGGUCCGGAUGUGUGAUCUCCACAAAUCGGUAGGGAAAUGAUUGUGUGACUUCAUAAGGUCCCGACCAUCUUGAUUGUAAUUUUCCCAAAAAUAGUCAGAGCUGGGAGUUGUAGAGCAGCACCUUAUCUCCCUACUUGAAUUCUUUGACCCCUUGAAUAUUAGCAUCGUCGAUUCGUUUCAUCCUUUCCUUAUAUAUACAUGAGCUCUCGUAAGUAUGAAACAUGUGCUCCUCUAGCUCAAGGAGCUAAUAUUUGCAUUCUGAAGCUACGAGACUAUCAUCCAUGUUUAGCAGCUUCAUGGCCCACCAUGCAUUAUGCUCAAGCUCGACCGGUAAAUGAUAAGCCUUUCCAUAAACGAAUCGAUACGGGAAAGUGUAGAUAGGGAUCUUGAAGGCGGUUCGGUAAGCCCAUAGAGCUUCAUCGAGCCAAAUCGACCUGUCCUUAUGAGACUGAUCGACUGUGCUAUCAAGAAUCUGCUUAAGCUCACGAUUCUUCACCUCCACUUGACCGCUUGCAUGUGGAUGGUAAGCGGUCAUCAAUCAAGGAGCUAUGCUAAAUGUUUGGCAAACUCAAUAGAAUUGACCCUGAAAGUGAGUGACUUUAUCGCUAAUGAUAGCAUGAAGGCCGCUGAAACGCAUGAAAACGCAUGUAAUAAACUUUCCCACUGUCAGAACAUAGUUAGUAGACAGCGGUUGCGCCUCUGCCCACUUUGAGACAUAAUCCACUUUGAAAUGUUACAUGUACGUUGGCAGUUGAUUUUGGGCUUUAAUCUGAAUUCUGUGAAUUUUGGAAAUUGGCUGAUCAAUGGACAGUCACAGGCAUGACAGUCAGUCUAUCACGGGAAAGGUUGUCAGACAGACCACGACCGUUGUCAGCAAACAUUCAUGGGCGUGACCACUGGAAGAUCAAGGGCUUGACCAUCAGGAGGUCAUGGUUGUGACCAUCAGUAGGUCACGGGCAUGGUUUCUAUGUGGCCACGGGUAUGGUGGUAAGUUGGACAUGGGCGUGGUGGACUUAUUAUAUAAGGACAGUUGCAACUUACAACUCAGAAUUACUGAAACCUAAGAACUUUGAAUCCCUCUGCAAAUGGCAAUCAAUUUCAGGAGAUGGAGAAAUCCCAUUUGAUCUAAUCCCAAAUCAUUAGGAAAGGUCUAGAAAUCGUUGAGGAUGCUUCCAAAGCUACUCAAUCUUCUUCCUCCUUUCUCAAUCCUUGAUUGGAAAUCCUACGUAGGAAAUUCCUGACACAUUAGGAUUUGGGGUUUUCAGAUUUCAAUCCUAUGAAUUAAUCUCUACGGGUCAGACAGAACAUGAGGCUUGAUCUUGGGAAGGUAGCUUCAUAUUAGACUCUACUAGGAAAGCUAAUCAGAGGUGGGGGGUUAGGAUUUCUUUUCUGCUUUAAGUGUAGAACUGUAAUUAGGAUUGUCAGGAAUCCGAUUAUUAGAUUCUCAGACUGUGUAGUAGCAUAUGAUUUAUUGUACAUGUGUUGUGAUUUGAAGGGCUCUCAAGACUGUGCAAUAGCGUGUGAUCUACUGUACAUGUAUUACGAUUUUUAGAGCCAAGCUCUUAGUAUUGUGCAGUAACGUGUGAUCUACUGUACAUGGGUUGUGAAACAGAGCCAGGCUCUCAGACUAUGUAGUAGCGUGUAAUCUACUGUACAUGCAGUUGUUUAAUUUCGAGCAUAAGCUCAUGGUGAUUAAACUAUGCUUGUGAUUCACAGUUCAUGUUAGGACAGGAUCAUGUUUAGCUAGAUUAGCUCUCGAUAUGCAUUGGUCACCCGCCCAUGGAUUGCGCAAUCCCUUAGGUCAUGUUCAGGCUCAUGUUGGACGUGUCGAGUAUGCCUAUAGAUGCUGCUCACACGGUUUUCAGGAUGGUUUCAUAGUUUGAUCCACCAUGAGGCUAUCUACCAUAGCUAGGGGUGGUUGUUGUCAAGAUGAUGCCUACAACCUGUGAGUAAUGCAUGGGUCGAACCAUGUAGUUCGAUUGGGUCUUCUAGGGGCGUGUUUCACGGUAAUCUUCUAUAUAUGUCCCGAAAGCAAGGAUGGUGGCUAUCUCGGUAAACCACUAGCGCUUGUAGAGGUGAUGAUCCGAGACUUCCUUUGCUUCUUCCAAGAGAAAUAAUUGAUCAUCCAGAAAGAGCUCAUUUAUCUCUGCUUCAGCGAAUCGACCCAGAGAAGGCCCUUCAAGGUGCGAUAGGUGGUUAGCUGCAACGUUCUCUGAUCUCGCCUUGCCCUUAAUAGUCAUGUCAAACUCUUGAAGGAGUAGCACCUAGUGAAUCAAUCUCAAGUUCCCAUCCUGUUUAGCUAUAAGAUACUUAAGAGCAAAAUGGUCGCCGGAAUCUGGGCAGAGGUCGCCAGCGGUAACGGCCUCACUAGAGAAGAAGGGUGACCUCCCCACAAUCAUGAGGAGUUCAGUGACCAGAUCUGCAAAGUCUGAAAGAUAAGUUGCUGUUGUGCAUUUGAAUAUUCUAAAGUCUAGCUUCCGUAGCUCUGAAGUUUUGGAUGGUUUACAGUUAUGGACCUUGGUCAGAUUUUUUAUCAUUUGGAAGUUCUAGAUCAGUUAGUGUAAUGGAGGUCAUUAGAGGACUAGAGUAACAUUUAUGUCCUUAAAAUUUUCAGAUUAUUGCAAAUAAGUAAAUGGAGAAGAACUCGGUCGUUUGAGCUCCAAAUGACGCACGGUUAGAACUUACGGAUUUAUGGCAACGAGAGAAAUCAUGCCAAGUUAGGAUCAAAGGUGUCAGAUCUUCUUAACAGGUGGGGGUUUAGGAUUACAUUCUGCUUAUAAGCUUAGAACUAUAAUAGGAUGUUAGGGAAUCCGAUUAUUGGAUUCUUCAUGUGAUUCAGAGCAAGGGCUCUCAGGAUUGUACAAUAGCGUGUGAUCUACUGUAUAAAUGUUGUGAUGUGAUUCGGAGCAAGUGCUCUCGGACUAUAUAGUAGCGCAUAAUCUACUCUAUAGAUGUUGUGAUGUGCUUUGGAGUGUGGGCUCUUAGGCUGUACAAUAGCGUGUGAUCUACAGUAGAGGCAAUUAUUAUAAUUCGAGCAUAAGCUCUUGGCGUUUGGACUGUGGCAUGUGAUUCACAGUUCAUGUUAGGAUAGGAUAGGCCUAGAUAGACUAGGUCACAAUUAUGAUACGUCGGGCACCCACCCAUGGAUUGCACAAUCCCCCAUGUUAUAAUCGGGCUCAGGCAGGACGUGUUGAGUAUGCAUACUGAUGCUGCUCAUACGGUAUUCAGAGUGGUUUUAUGGUCUGAUCUACCGUGAGGUCAUCCACAUAGCUAGGGGUGGCUGAUGUUAUGUUGAUGCCUACUGGACCAGAUGGUCACAUUACUAGAGUAGUGACUACAUAGAAUUCCAUGUUCUAUUCUUAGUACAGGUCAGUUUCAAUCUCAGUUCUACGCGAGUCCAGAUAGCCACUUAGUGUUUAUCACUAACUCUAUUAGAUAUUAUUUUCUCUGGUGUAUAUGUGUGUUCGGUCACAAGAACUGGAGCUGAUGGUGGGGAGAGAGCUAGUCGGAGUUUUGAUAUCACAUGAUAUAUGUUUUGAUGUAUUUUCAGUACUAGAGUUGCAUCUCCUUUUAUCAUGUUGUGAUUUGGGAUCCGAGAUCCUUGUUGGUCAAUUUUAUCAAAGUAUUUCGGUUCAACUUUUAAUGCUUGUUUUUGCUCAUUUAUUAGUAGUAGAGAGUAGAGGUUGGUUCAGCUUGGAACCCGAUAAGAUUUCUUGAUUGAACCAGUGGUUCGACCAAAACUCUUAGGGUGGGGUUUCAGAGAAAAUGUGAUAGUGAAAUAUACAUUUCCCAAAAAAAUUCAUCUUCCCACCGAUAAGUUUUGGCUAUUUUCGUAUUUUCAUAAUUACCUUUAUUUUAGAUUGUAUGAUUCAAUUCAUUACCAAUUGUCAGAUUAUGUUGUGACAUCAUCAUUUCUAUCAAACGAACAACAUUGGCUCCAUUUAUAGGAUUUUAUCUAUUGCAUAUAAGACUAUUGGAUCCAUUUUGAUUUGUAAAAGUGGGUCCUACUUCCAUCUCAUUUUGUUUUGAAAUUUUGCAUACUUCACUUUGAAAGGCUUCUCAUUAAUGCAAUUCAAAAACAUUUGCAAAAGUGGACUUACAUGAAUAAAAUGAUCAUUUCUUAUAUAUUAUUUUAUUAGCAAAUAAUGAUAUGAGAAGGCCCAAUCCAUUGGGUCUUGAUCAGAAUGGCACAACCUAUUAAAAAUACCUAUUUUGGCAUAACAUAAUUAUAAUUUUACAAAAUAAAAUAUUUAAUUGACUUUUUAAAACUCAAUACAAAAAACUAAAAAAAUAUCAAAGUUCAUCAUAUUCUUCUCCCACCACCAUCCUAUCUCCACUAUCUUCUUAUCAUCCCCAUCAUCCAUUGCUAAACCCAACAAUUACUUUCUCUAAAUCUAUCACUUACCAAAUCCAAAAUCAUAUUCAUUUGUACACACAACCAAGUAUGCAAAUUUUAGAUAUGAUUUGUGUUGGUUUUUUAGAUCUGAUUUUGUCGAUCUCGAAGGUGAAGAUGAUUGACGACGGGGAAGGGGACUCUAAUACCCAAAUAUGCUACUGGAGAAUAAUCCAUCUUUCCAGACUAUUGCAAUUCAUACCGCUCCUUGAAUACUUACAGAGAAAGACGGCGCAUCGAGCUCAAAAGGAGAGGGUAGCGAGCAAUCGAAGGAGAGUAGAAAAAGCCGUUGCAAGCAAAAGAGAAAUCGACCACCAGAUCUCCUAGGAUUCCUCAUCUGAGGAAGCCAUCAAGAGAUUUUUUCCUAUAAGUCAGUUCAGCUACUAAAGCUACAAGUGGUGAUGAUGAAUAAGCUUCCAUAAGUGGUUCGCUGGGUAUCUCUACUUUGACCUCCUUCAUGGGAGCUCCGUCGUCGCCGCUGGCGACCCUAAAAAAGAACAUGCAUUUAAACGCGUUUACACACUAAACUAAAAAGGAGAAUGAAAGACUAUAAUUGGAAUUUCAACAACAAGAGAAAGUUAACUUCUUUUUUCUAAUCCACCGUCGGGAGGAGCAGCAGCAAGCUUCGCCCGUCUUCUUCCCUUUUGGGAUUUUUUUGAAUUAAUUAAGAAUUUUAUUAAUUAGAAGUUUAAAAUUAUAUGAUGUGGAGCCUAUAUUGAAGUCAAGUGGGAGGUACGUCAGGGGUGUUAAGUUUGACUGUUAAGUUGAUGGUCAAAUUUCAAAUAUGUGCCACAAUAAGUAUUUCUAAUAGGUUAUGCCAUUCUGGGUUUAGACCCAAUAGGUUGGGCCUCCUUAGAUCAUUAUUCAUUUUAUUAACUACAUAUAUGUUAUAAAAAUGUAUAAGUGACAAGUGGGUCUCAAAUGAUUAAAAAAUAUAAAUGAAAAAAUGGGCCACAAGUGAGAUUAUCACUUUGACUUGGAACGAGUACAAAUUUGCACUUAAAAUGAUCCUUUCCCAUCAAUAAUAUUCUCAUUUAAAUUUAAAAAUUGCCACAUAGGCUCCAUGUUACUUAACAAGUAGGGAAAAUCUCAGUGAUAAGAUGCUAUAAUAACAAAUAAUCUUGAGGCCAAAUCCAAUAACUGAGCAUGCCUUCUACAUGUCGGACUCCACCAUAUAAACACGGCCCACGUUAUAAUUGAUUCAUUAAAAAAAAGAAACAAUUUGAUGAAUUGAUGAAAGAAGCGAAAGGCAAAAGAUGGAAAUUGUCGUUUCUCUUCCUAAAACUAGGGUUUUGUUUCUCUCACUAAAAUUAGGGUAUCUCUUCGUCAUGAAGACUUCCUACACCCCCAUCGCCAUCAUGCUCAAGCACAAACCUACUCCUAUCAUCAACAAACCCAUCCCACCUACCGAUGUUGUCAUCAAAACAAGACCGACCCUUACUGCACCCAUGGCCUCCCUAUCGUUGAAGGAGAGUCAUGGCUCGGAGGACCUGACCGGAAUGACAUGGCUGACGAUUGGAUACCAGAGCUGCAGCAAUCUGGAAAGCCCCACAAAGAUUCUCCGCCGACAAAGACCAGCAGGUCAACACUAAGGAGAGGCGGUGUUCCUCCGAUCUUCGAGCUACAGGGGAGCGAGACGACUCUACCCCAUACACCAUAGUGACAUCGCCGGUGUGGACAUCCGAUCAUUCCAUUCAAAGCUCAUGAAGAUCGGCUACACUUGUGUUUGGCUUUCUUUAUUUUUGUUUAGUACUCUCUUUUUAGACAUUUGGUUGAUUUUCAGUCGUACGUUGCACUUCAUUUGUUUCCUUCCUUGAGUCGGGGUAUAGUUUUGUUAAUUUUUUUGUUUAUUUCGUUGCAUCUAAAACCGUUGAUGGUCGAAGAGAUUAAAACUGUAAAUAAAAUAUUCAAUUACCUACUUUCCCCUUACAUCUUUUCUAAAAAACAACUCUCAAUUGCAUUUCUCAUGGUCAAUGUUAUAUCACGCCUCCCUCUAUAAAGAAAUUAUAUUUUGUAAAAAAAAAAAGCGAAAGGCAAAAGAUAUCGCGAGACCUAGUUCUAUAUAAACCCAUUCCAUUCGCAGGUUACGAGCGGCCGUCAUCGCUGUCACAGGGCCAGAUAUGGGAAGCGCUAAAGCUGGCAAACCCUCAAAGAAGUCUCUCAGAAACCCUAAUCCGCUUCGCAUUACCCAUAGGAAGAUUACGAAGCACAAACGGCAAGACAUUGCUGUUGAUACAGUUCCCACCGCCCUGAAGUAGAAACACAACCUCAUAUCGGAGAAGAGGAGCCCCUUCCUUCAGCUUCCCAGCAACUCAGCUUUUUCCUCAGCAAGUUCCAGUCAGCUAAUGGUCUUCAAGGUUAGUCUCUACCGCUGGAGCUCCACAAUAUUGUAUCCCAUGACAUCUCUAUUUGGUUGCUGGACAGAGGGAUUAUUAACAAUUUGUGUAUUGUAUUUGCAGAAACAUCCUUUAUUCAGUUAUUUUGAGAGCUGCCUCAGGAUGUUGAGGGCCUAGGCCAGCAUUUGAAGACUGCUUUCGGAAAGUCAUGGAAAGAAGAACGCUGUGAUCGAAAGCUCGUGGAUAGGUAAACUGAACCAGAGAGUCCUGCUGCUCUUUUCAUUUCUACAUCUGCAUUGAGAGCAAUAGAACUUUUAAGGUAUAGAUUCUCUCAGUUCUUGUUAAUGAUCUUUGUUUUGCUCGAUUUAAUCAGGGUUUGGGCUUGAUUCAAUCUUCUUCUUUUAGGGGUGUGCGUUCACUGAGCGUUCACUGACGAAAGAAUGCCAUGCUGCAAAGCUCUUCUCUAAGCACAUGAAGGUUGAAGAACAUGUGAUAUCCUUUCCCUUUUGUCACUUGUUGUUCCUAUUACAUCGUUAAACAAAAUACUAUCUCUUUAUGUUUCGAGGUGUUGUCAUUUGUUUUGGAUAUCAUUCAGUUCCUUUUAUUAUUACUGCUGCUCGAGUUACGAACAUCUGAGGAAAUAGCAAUGCUUAGGAUGUUAUUGUCCACUUCACUGUCUCGAGACACCGACAUUGUCUUUAGUUAUUAUUUAUGGGUCCAACAAGUUAUGACUUGAACCAUGGUCACAUGGAACAAAAUUAAUUUAUAAAUUCGGACUUCUGUUUCAUCAGUGACAUUUUCACUCUUCGUCAUCAUAUACAUUUGGUGUUUGUUUGUUUUUGGUAAAAGGAUUUGAUAUUACCAGUUAUAAAGAUCAAAGGGCAGUAGCAGUGCAGGAUAAGCUUUUUUCACAUCAGUCUGCUUCUAGUUCAGUAUCUUAGUUUCAAUGAUUUAUGGCUGGAAGCAUGGAGCAGUAUGGAAUUUUUGCAAACAAUUGUUGGAUUAGGAAUUUCAUACUUCUUUUCACUGCAUUUUGAUGUUGGGAUAUGAUGAGUUACACGGAUCAAAUGCUCUAGCAGUGCUGAAUAUGUUUUUUGCACGUCAGUCUGAUCCCAACUUACCGUAUUUUUACUGCCCCUACCUUUAAAUGCAUGUCCGAGUUCUAACAAUAGAUGACUUGAGACAUGGAGCCUAUGAAUGGGGGUUCUCUGUUUGAUUUUAUGACAUUUUACAAUAAUUGUCACAAAUUUUUUUGACAUUGGAUAUGAUGAUGAGUUAGAAUCAAAGGCACUAGAGAUGCUGAAUAUGAUUUUUUGCACGUCAGUCUGAUCCCAGCCUUUCGAUUUCUGAUUACUGGAAUUUAAAAUUUUACUUUGUUUUCGUCAUUUUGACAUUGGGAUAUGAUGAUGAGAUGUAGAUCAAAGGCAUUAGCGGUGCUGAAUGUUUAUUUUGCACGUCAGUCUGAUCCCAGCUCACUGUUCCGAGAUUGUGCUGCCUUCUUGCAUUUCCUAGUUAAAAAAAUGUACUCCUUGGACAUGGAUCUAAACGAACUUCAAAAUAUGAAUGAUUAAGAUUUCGUGAUCAGUGUCAUUCAUAGUUUAUGAUCACUAAUUUAAAUCUCGUGGCAUAUCUUGCAGGGUGUUUAUAGCCAAUUAGAUGCCACACUCACUGAAAGCUUAACUUACGAUUUAGGUUCUGGUUGUGUAUCCCCCCCCCUGUCCACCGCCUUUAACCUUGUACUUCUAAGCAAUUGAUUGUAUUUCCUGAAUAAUGGCUACAUAUUUCGUAAUUGUUCAUGCUCUGCUGAUUAUAUUUUUGCACGUCUCUGUUCCUAAUAAAACUGCACACUAUUUUACGAAAAAAGACGUGCACGCUAAUAUCGUACACCAAUGUAAUAUAACACUAUUAACAACAAAAAGUUCUUAGUACGGGUUCAAUGUCAUCAUGCAACAUCCAUGAUGCCGUUCCUUAGUCUCUCUACGUGACUCUGUGUUGCAUUUGGUAAACUAUUUCUUAAACUUCUGGCUCCGUUUACUGCAGGUCACUUUCUUCAAGAAUCGUGUCAAUAUUGCCAGCGGCACACCAAACAGGUUAGUCACCAGUCAUUUCAUCUCGAUAUUGAUGUUACAAUGGGUCGUUUGGAUGAGGUAUUUGAAAGUGGUAUUUUGGCUCAAGUAACUCAAACUAAAGUUAUAACUGAGUUAUUUGGGCCAAAACACUUCGUUUUCCAUCCGAAAUAAAAGUCGUUAUAUUUCAUAACUGUGAUAUUUGAAAUAAUUAUGGAUGUGAUAUUUGAAAUAACUCAAUUUAAAACCAUAACUCAAAAUGAUAGCUAAACGAAUAAUUCUUAUCCCCCAAAUUCUUACAACUGAUCCAAACGAUUAAUGUUUACUUGCUCAUCCUUUUCGUUCUAGCUGAAUAUUUGCAUUUCCGAAAUAAUGCGCCCCACAUGAGUUCGGUAUACAUUGGUGAUUGCUUUUGCAAGUUUUCCGUGCAUGAAUUGUUGUGGUAUUCAUCAGAAAAUUACCAAUAGGAAAUAGUUAAGAGGUCGUAGAAAAUGCAUCGGGAGUGUCAUUUUAUAUUGUAGGGGCAAAAAUUGAUUUUGAUGAAUUUGAACUUUCUUGACUAGAUUCUUGAUAAAAAAAACUAUCUUGACUAGGUUGAAGAAGUUGAUAGAUAUAAAAGCAAUGGGGCUCUCGCGGUUUUAAAGUUAUCGUGCUAGAUGUCCACCAUGAUGUAAAGGGUUAUUCCUUGCUCACACUUCCACAAGGGGGAGAUAUAGAGAGAAUGUCCGGUCUCUUUUCAACACAGCGAGGAGCAUAGUCGAUUUUGUCAUGUGAAGAGUUGCUGUUGUACAAGUGUUAGUUUGUUAUUUUGACAGGACACUUUUUCAAUUAUUCAAAACUUAUAUUCUAGCUAAGCUAAGGGUAAAUAUCCAUUUUGUAAUUUCACUUGUUGCUGCUUCUACCAAGAGACAGCACACAAGGAAUUAUACUCAUCGGCUUCCUGGCCGCAAUUGAGUUAAAUCUUCUUUUCGGCCCCUAGCGUUUAAAAUAAAAUAAAUCUUUCACCGGCUACCUUCAAAAUCCUCUGUUUAUCUUUCCUUUGAUCUUAUCAAAUUUUUAUAGUGACAAAGUUUGUGAAAUUACUUAAUAAAAAAAAGAAAAAAUUAUUAAACAAUUGCUAAUAUUUAGGCCCGACAUUCGAUAUAGCACAUGUUUUUUAUAAUAUUUUUUUUUGCCCAAAUUUCAAAUUAUGUUAAUUCCUUUAAGUUAAAAUUAACGGAUUGGUGACAAAUGCUGACAAGGCAAACAAUGUGUCUGAUGUGGAUGGAUGAAAAGAAGUCAAUCGGAAAUAAAUACACAGUCAACAUACAGUUAAAAAAUUUUAUAACAAAAACCACCCACAUUCCUUAUCCUCUUCGUCGACCAGCCUUUUAUCACCCACCUGUCACCUCCCUUCUAAAUUAAUUUUCAUCAGAUGGGGAGAAAGAGUGGAAGAAGAAGAAGAAGAAAGAAAGAUGGAGCAAGGUGCAUUUGAUUUGAAUCCCGACAAUGUCGACAACAAUCUUGUAUCUAAAUUCUUUGUCGAUUUGAAUUUCGAUGAUGCCAACAACAACCUCAUUCUUGAACUCUCCGUCGAUUUGAAUCCCGACGAUCCCAUCAACAACACCAUUCCUGAACUCUUCGACAAUUUGAAUCCCGACGAUGCUGAUAACAACCUCAUACCUGAAUUCUCCGUUGAUUGAAUCUCAAUGAUGCCAACAACGACUCUCUAUCGUUGUCGAUGAAAUGCCCAAGCUUGUGGAGAGAUGGAUACAGGGAGUAGUAGCAGGUACAUGUCCAAAUAUGGAUGUUGAGAAAUCCUCCUCGGCUGUCGAUUUCGAAUGGUCCCCACGUUUCAAAUUGAUUUUAGUGUUCUUGCUGGGAGUAGGUUUGCACGCGGCUGAGAUUGGGUUUAUCUGUUUGUUGCAAAUGAAUGAAUUGAAUUGGUUGGUUUUUUAUUGGGGGUGGGUUUUGCAAGCAAGUUGAGUUGUUUGAUUGGUUUGAAGUUUUUUUUGUCUUGAUUGGGUUUUGUAAAAAAUGCUAGCAGAAUACUGACAAUGGAGGAGAAGGUGGAGGAAGGAAAAAGAAGGUGGAGGAGAUGAAUGAUUUUUUUGGUAGCUGAGUUAUUAUUAUUUAAUGAAAGGAGGUAAAUAAAAUUUACCUAACUAAGCUGACGUGACCAGUGAUUGUUAUGUGGCGUCGGACAUGGUAUCUUGAUGAUUUUCUUCUUACGGCGUUUCGUGUUUGGUUAACUAUAACGGUCAACGACAAAGUCAACUGAUUUUCGUUAGUGUGAUUUGAAUUUUGUCAGAAAAAAAUGUAUUUCGGAAAACAUGUGCCAGAUCAUUUGUCGGGUUAAAACAUUGCCAAUUGUGUUAGCUAAUUUUUCCUAAAAUAAGUUAGUGACAUUUUAUCAAGUCGAUCUACACUACAGGAAACUAGAUGUUUAACAACAUCAUUUUUUCUUGUUGACGACAACCAUUUCCUGUUGUUAUGUAUCAUAACGGCGGCUUUGAUUGCGCUAUUAAGAUUGCCAAUGCAAAGAGAUCCUACCAGCGAAAUAUUGGCCGCGGUUAAGUGGGGAAGCGUAACAGCGAAUAGCUGGCCGCUGUUAGGUUGCAUCCUAAUAGCGAAAUAUGACCGAUGUUAGACGAAAUUCUAAUAGUGGCAUUGUGUCCGUUGUAAGGAUUUCGCCUAACAGCAACUACAUAUCCUCAUAGUUUUCUUAUUAUUUUAUUUUUUUCGUUUGGCUAUUUUCCAUAUAUAUCCAACUUGUUCAAGUAAUUUUUUCGAUAGGUAGAUAGAAAUACAAAUUUGGGAAACACUUUGCUAAAUAUAAAACUAGUCAUUUUGAUUAAAUAUUUGAUUGUUAGGACACAUACUAAUUCCUUGGCUUAAACUACACCAUCCUUCUAAAGUAACUACUUGAUUCAUAGUUGUUCAUCCAACAUGUACAAUCCACUAAACAUAGACUACUCCUCUUGGUCGUAAUCAAGCUCAUCGUCCCUCUCAUUUGUUUCCAUCAUAGUGCUCGUUCACAUUUGUUUGCAUCAAAUGGCUGCCAUCAUACAUUUGGAUUUAGAACAUCUGCCUCAUCUCCUCCAAAUCAUGAGAUAAGCCAACUUGAGAGUUGGCAAGAUGAGCUAUACACCUACAAUACACCAAAUAAAAGUUAGUUUUUUUAUCCAAAAAAAUUUGCAUGACCAAUUCGAAUUCACGGUUUAACUUAUACUCUUUGAUCUACAAAAUGAACAAACGAUACUAGAUUUGGAAGGACAAGUUUCGACAGCUACAAUGAAUCAAGGAAACCUUUUACAUCUACAUUAUCAAAACAUAAUUGCAGAAUUAAAAGUAUAAACCAUGAGUAAGGUUGAAUGAUAAAAUUUUCACUAUUUAGAGGUGUCGGUUAAAAUGUGCAAAUUGGAUAAUAAAUUUGCAUGGGAAGGAUGAUUAUGUAGAUUACGUAAUAAACUAACAAAUACAUAUAUACUUAUGAUUUGAAUGGGACUUGUAAGUUAAAAUUGGAGGCGCCCCUCUUAAUUUGUACCUAUUGUAUGUUCACUAACCACCCAUAAUAAAAACAAGCAAGAAAAAUUGGAUUUGGUGGAUCACUCGAUGAAGAAACAAGAUUCGAAACUAGCCCUCAUAACUUGAUUAGGUGAAGUUUCUACCUAUAACAGUCCAACUUAGUGGUAGAAUUAAUUUAGGAUUAAUGCUGAAAAAUACAAAUACUUAUUCAUUUUGCUUUCACUCUAAAUCCUAAAUGGCGCACCACUGUUCCUGACUUCUCUUUUUUGUUCUUCGAACGUAUACGAUAUGCCCUCGCCAUAGCAUCCUCCUUGCUAACCCCAUGUUAGUAUUUGGUUCCUUCAUAAACUGUUUGACUUCAACCUAUAUUCAAUCUCAAAAUCUUAAAUAUAUUAGAAUUGCAUCUUAUCAACAAAAGGUCAAAACACAAUAAAAUUAUAUGCAACUUACAUAAAAGUCUCAAGUAACAUAUGUUUCAUCUUCUCUUUCAUAACACUUGAAAAAGAACUCAGAUCUUCUUACUUCUUUUCCUUUCGCUUUCUUCUACAUUAUACGUUCUACAAUCAAUACAAAUUAACUUCUCAUGACUUUUGGAACAUAAUAUAAAGACGAUUGAUGAGAUGCUUACUUACCAUCUCUUCACGAAUUAUAUUGAAAGGUUUUGACCCUUUCGUAUGAUAGAUGUCUUGAUUAGAACGAUACCUUGUUUCUUUGCAGAUGCAGUCUAUAAAACUGCUAGUAAUUGACAAAUGACAAUAAUAAAUAUCAUUAUAUCAAAUAUAAGUACAAAUGUAAAACUUACUAGAGUUGGCUUCCCCUCCUAUAUCUGCAAAACAUAUCCCACUCACGUUCAUCAAUAUUUGGUGGUUUCCUGUCUAAGUUGAGCUGAAGACCUUGAGUAGCAUCGAUAUUUGGUGGUUUCCUAUCACGUUCAUCGAUACUAAUCAAUUUUCUUUGGAUAUGACUAAUGUAAUGAAGAAGAUAGAAGAGAUUAAAUCUAAAACCCUUAUGAUUACCCUGCAUUCAUAAAGACUGCAAUGCAAUAUGUACAGAGAGGCGUGGACACAUAGCAAAGUCCUUACAAUUUUGACAAUUACCAUCCAAUACAAUUUUGUAAGCUACAGCUAACAUUCAUGAGCUAAUAAGUUUUGUCAGGUCGGUUACGAAAGAAAACACACUUAACUUCAUAAACAAUAAUAAAUUAUGAAAACCCCCAAAUCAAAGUUAGGGCUCAUCUAAAUCAUUAACAAAUCAUACAAACUGAUUUCAAUCUCAAAAUUAAACUUAGACCCAGCACUAUAAAUAAGAUGUCUAACCUAAAGCUAGAACAAAACACUUCCAAUUCACUAAACGGAAAACAUUUCAAAGAUCUAGAUUUUACUAACCUUUCAAUUUUCUUGCUAACACAAGAUGACUGAUUGAGAUGAUGGACAGGAACCAAAAUGAGCCGCAGCUGGAAGGCCGGAGCAAGCGACGCCGGCACGAAGAAGAAAAACGCCAGCGAACGGCCGUUGGUGAAGAUACUAUCUGGCUGUGUCCUUUGUUCAAUUUGGGGAAAGUUGGGUUUUUACGUGGUGUUGGGGGGUUAUAUGUAUUUGGAGUUUCGUUUAUAUUAAUAUAAUGAAGAAUUAAGUCUCAUUUUGUUUGGGGCUUUAAAUUAAUAACCCAACGUCGGCUUGAUUCUCUACAUAGCCGCUGAUAGGAUUACUCUUAGCAGCUGCCAUCUAAAUAAGAGCCACUGUUAAGUUGUUGUAUUCCAUCAUAUUUUUUAAUUAUUAUCCUAACAUCGGCCAAUAUUAAUCAGGGCCGAUGUUAGGUAGUAAUAACGUAUCAGUAGCCUUCCAUUUAUUGUUAGGAUAUUGACCUAACAUUGAGACCAUGUCCGUUGUUAAAUUUUGUAUGUUAAAAUAUCCUAACUGCAGGUCUAUGUGGCUACAGUUAAAUUGGCAAUAUUAGGUAGUCAGUUUCUUGUAAUGCUACCUUGUUUAUCAUAGAAAAUUUGUUAUGACAAACGUGAUUGUUGUUGUUACAUAACAACACUCUAAUUUUCCAUCUAUUUUUAAUUUUAAAAAUUUGACAGUCUUAAUUUGUUGAAUAUUUUUAAUCUUUUUUACAUUUUUAUCUCUCAUAAAUAUGUCCUAAUUUUUAGUUAAAGAAUCCUCAUUCAAUUUCUAUUUCUAUUUCUAUUUUUUUACCUAUAUUUAAUUAAGUUAAUAACUUAAUAUUUCCUUAAUUGCUUUUUACAGGUUGUCAACGGAGUUCUGGUACUCCCAACAAGUGAGAAGAACGAUCAGAUUAGUAACAGAGCACAAACAAAGGUACAAAAUAAAUUACCAUAUCACAGUCUCAGGUAUAUAACUCCAUACAAUAGCACAUUCAUGGGUACAUAACUAGACAAAAAUUAAUCAAAAAUUGAUACUUCAAUACACGAGGUAUAAAAUGCAGUACCAUAUCACAAACCCCUUUUUUUUUUUUUUUUUUUUUUUUUUUUUUUUUUUUUUUUUUUUUUUUUUUUUUUUUUUUUUUUUUUUUUUUUUUUUUUUUUUUUUUUUUUUUUUUUUUUUUUUUUUUUUUUUUUUUUUUUUUUUUUUUUUUUUUUUUUUUUUUUUUUUUUUUUUUUUUUUUUUUUUUUUUUUUUUUUUUUAUUUUUUUUCUUUUUUUUUUAUUGUCUGUUUUUUUCUUUUAUCCUGUUUUUCUUCCUUUUCAAGAUCUUGAAAAGAGAGAGAAAAUGAGAGAGAGAGAAUGAGAAAGAGAAAACGAGGGAAAGAGAAUGAGAGCAAGAGAGAGAGAGAGGAGGAGAAAUUUUUGGAGUUUUUUUAUUUUUAGUGGCUUUGAUAUUGAAAAUACUAUAUAAAGAAUUUUAGAUGAAAUCAGUCAGUUGAUACAAUUAUUGUUGUUAUGUGCUAUUAUCGUAUGAUAAGCGGGUGGGGCUUUUCUUGUUUUCGUAAACAUCAAGAUUUUAUUGGUUGGGUCUAUGAUUCCAGCCUACAUGAUACUCAAAAGGGCCCUGGUUCAUCUGGAAAUGAAAAGUGCUUUAUGAACGUUUGGAUUGGUGCUUCCUUGACUCGGUUUGGUAACUUCAAUUUCUACCCACCUAUAUCGUGUUAAGUCGGAUCACCGACCUAUUUUCAUGGUUGCGACCAAGCUCAAGAAGUCAAAUCUUCCUCAUACCUUUCGCUUUAUGGCUUCAUGGUUGUCACAUGUUGAGUUUAAGCCUUUUUUUGUCGGAAUGGAAUCGGUCUUUUACCUUUAUUCAUCAGAUGUCCAUUCGAGCUACCAAACUGAAAAAAUGAAAUAAGGAAAUUUUUGGCAACAUCCAAACGAAUAGAAGGAGCUUAUCUUUAAACUUGCUGAUGUUUAAGCUCUCGCAGCUCCUCUACUCAUUCAAGACACCACAAUGGACAUUGCAAGUGACCGGAAUACUCAUUUUUUUCACGUAUCCACCUUCCGUAGGCGUGCUCGGAACCACAUUAUUAAGUGAAGGAUGACUGUGGGGUGUGUAUUCAUUAGGUUUGGGAGUCGGUUAAUUUGGUUAAUAACCAUCGGUUAAUGGUCGGGAAGCGCUUUGAUGAUUGAAAUUAAUUAACCAAAUUAACCGACCGAGCAAAAGCCACGGUUAAUCUUACCGACCGAUAACCGACCAAUCAGUUAAAUGAUCGAUUAUUAACAGACUGACUCUCGGUUAACCGUUGUAACCGGCUCUGACCAAUUUAACUCUCUUCUCAUAUUGCAACAAGAUUCUAGGCUCUGGCUCUAGAUCCGUCGUCGAUUCAAGCCUUGGAGACCAUAGCUUCUCUUCUGGAAACAAUCCGGUGCUCUACAACUUGAUCCUUCGGGACUGGAAGCUUUCCGAGACGGCGUUGUUGCGGAUCAGUAAGGAGAGGAGGAAGCUUCAAGCCUAUGGUGUUGCAGAUCGAAGAAUUGAGAGAGUGGAGGAGGAGAGGAUUGGCCGUGGCGACGAAGGAAGCAUGUGGUGUUGCAGAUCGAAGAAUCGAGAGAGUGGAGGAGGAGAGGAGCGCUUGCGGUGACUCGUCGUGGUCGUCGUCGUGACUGCCGGCGAGAUGCUGAAAUUGAAUCGCUUGGAUUGAUAGAGUUGUCGAGAUGGAUUGAUGGAGUUGUCGAGAUGGAUUGAUGGAGAUGGCUCGGAGUUAACCUAAUUUCAGAAUGAGAGGUUGUGAUGGAGUGGGAGGCUGGGAGGGGAGGGAGCGAUUCUGCGAUUGUGGUGAGCAAAGCUUGAUUUCCUAAUUGGGGACCUUGGUUUUUUUAAUUACCGGUUAACGUUGGUUAACUCGAGUUAACCAACGAUUUUACCCUGCUCCAACAAGUACUCCCAACUGUUCCCCGACCGACCCCUACCUCGGUUAAACCGACACUCUAACCGAGUCGAUCAGUUCAUCUGUUUAACCUAUUAACCGAGACUGAUGGCCCACCCUUAGUAUUCAUCCAGCUUGUUGCUGCAAUUAGUGUCGUAUUGAUAUGGUUGAGAGAGGAUAAAAUAUGCUUGAUUUCAAGUUCUCCAACUUGAAAGGUUUAGCUGUUAAAAAUGUAGAGGUCAUGACUGAGUACUGAUUUCCAGCAAGGAGAAGUUGGAUAUUUGCUUGCGAUAAAAAAGAAUUUGGACAGUCUAUCUUAGGCACAAAAUCUAACGGAUGAGAUGGCAACUUUACUUCAGGGGCCUAUUGGUCAUUUUAAAAUUUUCUUGUUUUUCAGUUUAUUUUUCCAUUCUGUUUAAUAUUGGUUCAAGUAAAAUGAUUUCUUGUAAAUUGGGUCUAUUGAGUAACGUGGGUGGGUAGACUUUAUUGCUCCCAUCGAGCUUGACGUGAUAUUUUCUUCUUCGUUUCUUUAACAUGCAUAAAUUGUAUAUAAUACGAAAGGUUGGAAAUAUAUGUGAAGCUCGAGGUUUAUUAUAUAUGUUUCGAGGUUUAUUAUAUAUGUUGAACCUUUUUGCCAAUUGGUUAUUUUUAUCAUGUAGUGCCUUAUCAAGUAAAGGGAAUGGUUGUUUUUAUCUACUGUCACUAGCCAACUUUCUUUCUCAUGUGAUCAAUUAUUUGAUCACGCAUGAAUGACUACAGUACACAAAAGAUAGAAAUAUUAUAAAAACAAAAAACAAAUAUUAAAAAAAAAUACCUAAAAAGCAGGUACAUAACAACAAAAACAAUAACCGUAAAUAUCAAGUACAUGAAAGCGGAUGCUCAAAAUAAGCACGCACACAUUAAAAACUUUGGUACAUACAAGGCAAGAAAAUCGAGAACAUAUUGGAACUCGAGUACCGGAAUUGGUACGGUAUUAAGUACAACGUGAAGAAAUAUCAAGUACAUUAAAAAGCGAGUAUAUAACAAUAGAAAUAAGUACACGAAAACAACUCAGAGAAAUGAUAAUUUGAUUGCCAAAAUUGAGUAUGAUAAAGUAAAAUGCAAGCACGUAGUACAUGAAACAAAUAUGAGUAAGAGUACAUAAAUUUUUUAGUACAAUACAAGACAAAAACUCAAAUACAUAUAAAAACUGGACACUAAAAAAAAUAAUUAAUUAUUCACAAUUUUAAAUAAUAAUAGUCACGAUUUUUAUCAUGAUUAACAGAAGCUAGUCACGAAAAUAAAUCCGUAACUAACCUAACCGAUGCUAGAUGAACUUGUCACGAAUCUGAAUAACCUGUAACUAAGUUGUCACCGAAAUUUUCCGUGACCAACUCAUCACGGAAGAAACCGUGAACAUAUGUGUUUUUGUUUUUGUUUUUUAAAUUAGUGGCACGGAGCCAUAUGCUGUGAUAAUUGAUUUAUUAAUAAAUUAAUCCCACAUCUCCGUGGCUACUAUAUCACCAGAAUUUCCAGAUUCCGGCAACCACAAUUUCCAGAAUCCGGCAAUAAGAUAGAGUUGAUAAUUGCUUUUUUAUUAGAGUAAAAUGUUCUACAUCUAUACAUUAUGAUACCCAUAUCAAAAUUCCAGAAUCCCAAAAUUGAACAUAACGUCAACGAAAGGCACCAUGCAACAAUGGUGACACUAAGGGUUACAACAACCAGCAAAACCGAAACACAGACUGGAAAUGCUACCAAGAGAAGGAUGAGACUAGAUGAUGAGAUUGAGAUUGAGAGAAGAAAAAUGAUAGUAAGAAAUUUUGUUUUCGAGAGAGAUCAAAUGAAGAUGAGAUCUACUUCUAAUUUAAUAUAAUGGAAAUGGAGAUAUGGUUGUUUAAUGGCAAAGAGAGAAGAAAGGAAUAGCCCAUUAAACGAGGAUAGAGUCUGCAUCAUUUCUUUUUUCGACCUUUUCCCACUAAAAUGCUAAUUUUAAAAUUAUAAAUAAAAGUUGGUCACGGUUCCAACAUUUACCGUGAGUAGUUGGUCGCGGUAUUCAACAAUCCAUGACUAGUUAUGGAUUUUUUUUUAUCUAUAAGUAGUUAGUCAUGGUUUUUAAAGCCGUGAUUAAUAAAUCGUGAUUAAUCGUUGAUUUUUUUUGUAGUGCGAGUAUGAGUAUUGAGUAAAACGUCAUGUACAAAAACAAGUACAUCAAAAGCGAGUACAUAAUUAUCAAAACAAGUACUAAAACGAGAGGAAAAGUACAUAAAAAGCGAGUAUAUAAUAAUAGAAACAAGUGCAGUAAAAAUCAAGUGCAUGAAAGGAAAACGAAACUCAAACUAAACACUAAUACAAAAAAAACUUUAGUACGCAAAUAAGUAAAUACAAGAAAAUUAACAUACACAAACGAAUACAUAAGAGUAUAGUGUUUAAACAAAGCGAUUAUACGGAUCAAUACGAUGUUGAGUACAAAACAACAACUUGAGGCUUUAUCCCUCAUUUUUAGAUGAUUUUGUACUAAGUUCUUAUAUGUAUUAGUUUUUAUUAAUGUAAUCCCUCGUGUACUUUGUCUUUGGAUUUAUUUUUAUGCCAUAUCUAUUUAUUUACGCAUUUGUGUAUACUUAUAUUUUUAGAACUUUAUACUCAAAUCAAUUAAUCAAACAAUAAAACUAUUUUCUCUUUACACGAACCAACAUAAUAACCCAUCACCCCAUACAGGGUUGUGAAGGAGGUGCAGUGACCAGAAUUUUCUAGUUGUUGCUUUUCUAUAGUUUGAUAAGGGUAAGCAUCUUGUUCUAGAAUAUAUGUUGUUAGGUUAUAACAAUGCAUCUAGUUGAGCAUGAUUCUUUGGUCAAGUGUUACUGGGAUUCUUUUUGUUCCACAUCAAUGCUCGGAGGUCGAAGAGGCAACGAGGGUGACGAAGAAAUCGGCAUCACCACGUGAGAGAAGAUGAAGAAGAGGUCAGAGAGUGGAGCCGGUGGAAAAGAUAUACUAGAAGAGGUACUUAAAGUUACUUGUACGACAAAACUGCCCUUAUUCAAUUGGACAACCCCUAGAUUAAAAUUUAAAAAUGAACGGACGCGAUUCGUUUGCGGCCAGCAAACACAUAAUAUCAUGGCUGCCUAUCCGGACUCGUCAUAACUGGCGUCAACAUUACGUAGUGUUGUCAAAAAUUAAAAAGGGGAAUAUAUAAUAAUAAUAAUAACAGACGUAAUCUUGUGUAUAUAAUGAUAUUAAAACGUUUUUCAAUCGACAAAGCCAAGUCUGCGGGAGGAACAGCUAAUGGACGAACAGCCUAAGCAUAAGCCGCCUUCUUCGUAUUCUUCAGAUUCUCUGAAUCUCUACCCUUUUUUUUUGUUACGCGGAUUCCCUUCCCUCGUCUGCAAACAAAAAGCUCUUCGUUGACUUUUUAGCAGGCUUUUUUAAAAAACCUUAAUUGAAAAAAUUUGUACAUGGUUGUUGCCUUUGUUGGCGUCAGCAUGACCCAAUGCUGUUGUCAUGUUCAUGAUUGCUCCAACUCACCUGGCUGCGCAUCUGCCUUCUGACCUGACCUGCCCUCCUCCUUUUUUUUAAAUUAUGUUUCCCCAAAAUUAAAUUUAAAUCGUUACAAAAUUGGUCUCUCCUUCUCCUAUAUAUAACGUGGAAGAGCUCCUGCCAAAAAAGUCAUUCAAACUCAAAGCAGAUAAAUUAUCAAAAUAAAAAAGAAAACCCCAGUGCUCUGCCUGCCGUUAAGAAAUUAGUUUAUUGGGUUUGUUGUGUUUAUGAAAGCUGUGUUCCAGAGACUGAUAUCGUCAAGCACCCAGAUUGGCUGUAGGAAGAAAGUUGCAUCUUUUCCAUUAAUCAGAAGCGCUAAUAUGUCUGAAUCCUCUGCCUUUGAUUCUCCGAGAUUGGUGACCAAGAAGGUCCUUGCUAAGCUUCAGCGUGAAGGGGAUGGUGCUUCUGUCAGGAGAAGCAUUGGAAGGUAUAAUAUAAUAUAUCAUGGAUGGAUGGAUGGAUAUACAAUUUUCUUCUUGUCAAAAUUGAAUUAACUGUUUUCGUUUCUGUGGUGAAAUUGAAUGAUUGAAUGUUGAAUUAUUUUGGUUCAGGAGUGAGCUCAGGUCUCUGGACCCUUUCCUCAUGUUGGAUGAGUUUUCAGGUCUGCUUUGCUUAAUUACUUGAAACCAAAUUCCUUGAUAUUUUCUAGAAUUAGGAUGAUGAUGGAUGAUGGAUGGUAUUUAAUUUGUUGUUGCAAAUUGCAAUGCAUGAAGUCUCAGCUCCUGCUGGAUUUCCUGAUCAUCCACACAGAGGUUUUGAGACUGUUACAUACAUGCUGGAGGUACAGACAGUACUGGAGUUAAUUAUUUAUUAUGAAUUGAAGGCUGUUUUUUGUCCUUGGUAGUCUAUUUAUUGAUGUCUGUGAAAUUCGUGGGUGGCACUGGCAGGGAUCAUUCACUCAUCAAGAUUUUUCUGGGCAUAGAGGGACUAUUCAUGCCGGGGAUGUUCAAGUAAAAUAAUUCACUCAAUUACAAUACUACGACGUUUACUUAAUUAGCUAGCUUUACUUGAUCAAAGUCAAAAACUCUUUCUUUUUUUAAAGUAAACAACAACAACAACUUGUGUGUUUUCCUGUUGGGCAGUGGAUGACAGCAGGUAGAGGGAUAGUCCAUUCAGAAAUGCCUGCAGGAGAAGGAGUCCAGAGAGGCCUUCAGCUUUGGAUAAACCUCUCUUCUCAACAUAAAAUGUAUGUUUUUAUUUCCUUUUUUGUUUGUACUUUCCAACUUCACCAUUCCAACAGUUUGUAAUAUGGAACCAACAGGAUUGAGCCAAGGUAUCAGGAACUUCUGAGGCAGGACAUCAAAAGAGCAGAGAAAGACGGGGUUGAAGUCCGAAUCAUAGCAGGGGAAUCAAUGGAAAUCGAGUCUCCAGUUUAUACAAGGACCCCAACAAUGUACCUUGAUUUCACACUGCAACCAAGGUCCCAAAUGCACCAGCCCAUUCCAGAAUUAUGGAACGCAUUCAUUUACGUCAUUGAAGGUGAGGGAGUGUUUGGGAUCCCAAACUCCUCACCAGUUGAAGCACAUCAUACACUCGUUCUAGGCCCUGGUGAAGGAAUGAGCGCCUGGAACAACUCCUCUUCCAAACCCUUGAGGUUUGUCUUGAUUGCAGGCCAGCCACUUAACCAACCAGUGGUGCAGCAUGGUCCUUUUGUCAUGAACACAGAAUCUGAAAUCCACCAAGCAAUUGAAGAUUACCACUACUCCAAAAAUGGGUUUGAAAUGGCGCAGUAUUGGAGUUCCCAAUAGGGAACAAGUAAGUGCUUGGAUCACUCAAAACCAAAUCUCCACAUUCCCUCUCAACUUUGAAGAAGAAAAGAGUAAAGAAUAAAAAUACACAUCCACAAACACUAAAGGCCACACGCAUAUGUGAGUGAUACUCAUUUGUGUUCCAUCAUGUAUUAAUUUAGCUUUUAUCCUCUUCCAACCUUUUACUAUUCCAAAUCAAAAGGUUGAUUAUUGCAUUGUCACACAAAACAAUGAUAAUAAAAAUACUCAAUUCAUAUAAUCCUUAGAAUUAAUUCUUUUCAUAACUAUAGUAGAUGUUUGAACAAGUGAGAACAAAAUAUAAGCUUAAUCUUAAUAGUAAUAUCAACGGAUAAUAGCACUGUGUGUCACUUAAUUAUUACCCAUGUCGCACAUAAACUACUUAACUUUCUACAUUGCACAUAAAGCCACUUAACUUUGCUUAUGCUUGCAACAUCCAAAUUUUCAUUCAAUUUAUGGAUAGACUGAUCGAAUUGAUGAGUUCUUAUUCGAGAUCUUCUGUAUGAAUAACCUCCAACACAUUAAAGAGAACAAUAAUUUAUAAGAACUGACAGAAUAACUUAUUACUUGUUUACAGAAAAGAAUGAUAAAAUAAAAAGGCAAGAAUAGAUUAUAAUCAUGCCUUGGACACUGCUUUCGAAAAAAUAUUUCCCGAAUUUAGAACACCAAUACAACUAAAGGUUAAUCACAAUAUUCACUCAAACUCUAGUGUAGGGCUUGAAUGUUGGAACUUGGAAACUUAUGCUAUUUUGAUUCCGAUUUUGAGAGUGAAAACAAAGUUUUCUGCCCAUAUUAAUCAACUAGGAUUUCCCUUUUUAAAGAGAACGCAUCCACUAACCAACAUCAAAUCCAGAUUCUCCUUUCUGAUGAUCAUCAAUGAUAAGCAGAUAUGGGGAAGGUGGAGUUGAGCUCCCGAUUUCUAGGAAGCCAACCAAAUACUUCUGUUAAGCAUAAGUCUUGAGUAUAUGCGGUAUGUAACUGAUCAUUACUGUUACUUCAAGUGGUUAGAUAAUGGUUACAUCAUCUUGCUGUUGUCCGUUGAUGACAUGUUGAUAGCAAGUUCUAUUGUAAAAGAAGUAAACAAGUUGAAGAAACAGUUAUCUAACAGUUUACUAUUAAGAAUAUAGGAGACGCUAAACAGAUUUUGAGUAUGUGCAUUGAUCAUGAUAGGCAAGUAGGAAAGUUUUAUCUUUCGCAAGUUGAAUAUAUCAAGAAAGUCUUGAAGAGGUUCAAAAUGCAGGAUGCAAAACUAGUAAAGAUUCCUUUGGGUGGCUAUUUCAAGCUAUUUGAGAAGGAUAUGCCUAAUAAUGAUCCAGAACGUGCCCAAAUGCACGAAACACCAUACAUUUUUGUAAUUGAUAGCUUGAUGUAUGGAAUGGUGUGCACAAUACCAGAAAUUGCACAUGUAGUGGGAGUUGUCAAUAGAUUCAUGGGAAAUCGGGGGGAAGCGAUUAAGUACUCCUGAGAUAGUUGAAGAUUACUACUAAAAGGGUCUUGGGCUUUGAGGGCAAAGUAAUGUAGUUAGAAGGAUUUGUCAUCAAGUGACCUUGAUAGAAGAAGAUGUACAACAUGGUAUAUUUUUACUCUUUGAGGUACCAUGGUUUCUUGGGCUUUUAAGUUGCACUGUCUAACACUCAAGCUAAAUAUGUUGCGGUAACGAAGGCCAGCAAAGAGAUGGUAUGGUUUUAGAAUUUCUUUGGUGAAUUGGGGAAGAAGAAAGAGGAUAGCAUAUUGUACAUUAGUCUUAUACACUUGCAAAAAAUUCAGCAUUUCAUUCAAAAUCGAAGCUCAUAUUGAGUUGAUGUAUCACUUUAUGGGUUGAUCUCUUGGAAAGGAAGAUCUUACGGCUUAUGAAGAUUCUAGGAAGUGAGAAUCCUAUGGAUAUGCCGACUAAGGUUGUAAAGUUGGAGAAGUUGACACUGUGUAUGACUUUAACUGGUUUUGUAACUGAAGUUGAAGGUCAGAUGCUGCUUGUAGUAGGAAGACGUUGAACAUGGAGAACCAAUGAGAGGAGUAUGUCUUCAGGUGGGAGAUUGUUGGGUUAUGGUGCCUAAGAAACUGAAGGCUUGGUCCAGUUAGUUUGUUUAGUUAGAUAAAAAUUAAGAUUAAUCUUGUCUAUUCUAUAUAGGAUUAGAAUUAAUAUGGUAGCUCCCUAUAAAUAAUCUAUAUUCAUAUCAUUGUAAUCUGUAUCACAACAAUAGUAGUCGAAAUCCUAACUUGGUUUGUAAAAAAAGAAAUUCUAGCGUGGUAGCGCCCUAGACAUACUCUUCUCGUGAAGAGGAACUAGGUUCUUAAUUUUUCAGUUUAUGAUUGCGUUUCAUUUUUUACAGGAACGACCAGAUCCAGCUCAGAAACUUCCUCAAGAUGGCGACGUUGAAGAAGCUCUGUCUCGCUAACGCCUAACAAUGGCUUCUCUAGACUGAUUCAGACUGUCCUCACCGCUGGAAAAGGAGAUUAGAUAGAAAUCCAUCUUUUAUUCCUCUUCAUUGUUUUUAUGACAAUUUCUUCUUUUCUUUUAUAAUAGAGAACUAUUUAUCACUUUUGUUGGACAUUUCUUGUUUGUUUCCCUCAAGAACUAAUAAUUUUGGUCAAUGGGUGACCACUGAUGAUGUUGAUUCUAUAAGCUUUAGUAUUUAGUCAAAUUCUUGAGUUUUUUUCAACUAGAAAAAAAAAGAAGAGAGGUUACAGUUUCAAUUAUUAAGUUUGAAGAAUUAAAGAAAAAAAACUAGACUACAGAUAUGAAAAGGUAAUUCUGAUAAUUUUUAUUGAUGAAUUUUUUUUUUGUAAUGAGUAAGAUAAUUUUUUAGGUUUUAUAAAUGGGUUUUUGGUUAAAAAUCUCAUUUAGAUAGAGUUUUUGAUGGGUAAUUAUGAAAUUUGACAUAAAGGGUACAUGAUUAAAAAGGUGGGAAAGGAAGAUGCGAAAAGAAGGUAAGAAGGAAUCAAUUCAUGGCAAAAAAGAAAAAUAAAUAAGAGGGAAGAAAGAAGACAUAUAUUGAUGGGAGGCGGAGGUGGGAUAGGGAGGUGAGAGAAAGAUGUAACAACAAAGAAGGGUUUAGCGAAAGGUGNNNNNNNNNNNNNNNNNNNNNNNNNNNNNNNNNNNNNNNNNNNNNNNNNNNNNNNNNNNNNNNNNNNNNNNNNNNNNNNNNNNNNNNNNNNNNNNNNNNNNNNNNNNNNNNNNNNNNNNNNNNNNNNNNNNNNNNNNNNNNNNNNNNNNNNNNNNNNNNNNNNNNNNNNNNNNNNNNNNNNNNNNNNNNNNNNNNNNNNNNNNNNNNNNNNNNNNNNNNNNNNNNNNNNNNNNNNNNNNNNNNNNNNNNNNNNNNNNNNNNNNNNNNNNNNNNNNNNNNNNNNNNNNNNNNNNNNNNNNNNNNNNNNNNNNNNNNNNNNNNNNNNNNNNNNNNNNNNNNNNNNNNNNNNNNNNNNNNNNNNNNNNNNNNNNNNNNNNNNNNNNNNNNNNNNNNNNNNNNNNNNNNNNNNNNNNNNNNNNNNNNNNNNNNNNNNNNNNNNNNNNNNNNNNNNNNNNNNNNNNNNNNNNNNNNNNNNNNNNNNNNNNNNNNNNNNNNNNNNNNNNNNNNNNNNNNNNNNNNNNNNNNNNNNNNNNNNNNNNNNNNNNNNNNNNNNNNNNNNNNNNNNNNNNNNNNNNNNNNNNNNNNNNNNNNNNNNNNNNNNNNNNNNNNNNNNNNNNNNNNNNNNNNNNNNNNNNNNNNNNNNNNNNNNNNNNNNNNNNNNNNNNNNNNNNNNNNNNNNNNNNNNNNNNNNNNNNNNNNNNNNNNNNNNNNNNNNNNNNNNNNNNNNNNNNNNNNNNNNNNNNNNNNNNNNNNNNNNNNNNNNNNNNNNNNNNNNNNNNNNNNNNNNNNNNNNNNNNNNNNNNNNNNNNNAUGGGUUUGUGGUUAAAAAUCUCAUUUAGAUAGAGUUUUUGAUGGGUAAUUAUGAAAUUUGACAUAAAGGGUACAUGAUUAAAAAGGUGGGAAAGGAAGAUGCGAAAAGAAGGUAAGAAGGAAUCAAUUCAUGGCAAAAAAGAAAAAUAAAUAAGAGGGAAGAAAGAAGACAUAUAUUGAUGGGAGGCGGAGGUGGGAUAGGGAGGUGAGAGAAAGAUGUAACAACAAAGAAGGGUUUAGCGAAAGGUGAUAUAAACAAAAUUAAUUUUGUAAGAAAAUAUUUUUUUUAAUGCCAUGUCAACUAGUUUGUAACUUUUAGUGUCCAUGUCAACAAACAAAAUUUUAUAAAGUUACCAAAAUUCAAAAUUUGUGUUACGAAAAGUAUUUCUAAUAGAUUGUGCCAUUUUCGGUAAAGGCUUAAUAGGUUGUGCAUUUAAGAAAAAAAAUAUUAUUGUGUUUCUACAAUUAACAUCAAUUAUCACCAAACCAUUAAAUACUAAAAACCAAUUAAGAUAUAGUCAUGUUACAAAAAAUGACUCUUGUUAUGAUUUUUUUGUUUAUGCAAUGAUAGGAUGAGAUUAAAAGGUUAAUUUCUUUUUCGACAAAACUUGUAAAAUAUUAUUAAACUCAAUUAGAUAUAAUAUCAUCUACAGUUGGUCAAUCAAAAAAAUUGAGGGUCUAUCCACCGAAACAAUCGUGGAGUUCCAAUGAGUCUGAUUAUACGCCAUAACAUGGGUAAGCUUGUUAACUUAUCUCCGGCCAUGACGCCAAUUACCACAAUCAAACUUUGCCAAAAGGCAACGAAUUAUGGACUAAAAUCCAUGUUCGGUAUGAUGAUCUUCCACAUGAUGCAAAGUCUCAACCAUGAUCAAGCUAUCACUUUCAAGAACCACAUUAGGAUACCUAUGUUGCAAGGCCAAUUGUUAGCAAAAUCUUGCCUCGACCGCCUCAGUUAAAGUAGGCUCAUAGCAACCCUACAAUUUCAACAUAUCCGCCAUUAAGUAAUGCCGAACGCCAUCCCAGAUAACCACCCCAAUACCCAUUCUGGAUCCUGUAAUGAUAGUUGCGUUUAAGGUAGUGAAACUGGUGAGUCAACAUGGGAUCGAAAAGGGACCUAGAAUCGUAAUCGUAAAAUCAAAUCGCAAAAUCAUAAAAUUUCACGGUUCUUCAAUAAUACUAAAUAUUCAGAAAUUCACCUUAGCAUAAAGACGUAAGUUCAUUAUCCAAUCUAAAAUUAAAAAUAAAAUCUCAAAUUCACCUUAAUAGGUUCUUCAGUUGCACUACUUUGAGCUGAUUUUCGAGUCUAGGAGACCGGAGACAAAAUCUGUGAACAAAAUUGUACAAUCUUACAACAAAAAACAAAAUACCUUCGAACAAAGAACCUAAACACCAAAAAUCCAAAACUAAUCUAACAAAAACAGAAUUAGAGAAAGGAAUGGGAUGAUGAGCAAAAUCAUGGAAUGGGAUGAUGAAGAAUCAUGGAAUCAAGGAAACAGAGAUACCUUCGAGCCGUAGGAGUGGCUGGAGCGAUGGGGACGACCAAAGAGGCUAUGACGAGGACCAUUGACUCCUGGUUCUGGUCUUCUAGACUUCUGGGGGACGACCGACGGGGGAGACGACAAGAGAGAAGACUGAGGAUCGAGCAGAGAUCGAACGAGCAAUCGACGACUUGCACAAUUUUUUUCAGAAGAUAAAUGAAUUUAAGGUUCGAUUUUUUGCCCAAAAUUGAACUCGGAUUUCCGUUUCGGUUCGAACCGAAGCAUAAAAACCAGCGGUCAGCACAGAGUAGUGGACUCGUGAAUCGUUGUAAACUCGUUCGAUUCCACGAUUUUCACGAUUUUGCGAGCGAUUUCAUGCCAUUAUAAGCCAUUUUGAUUGCGCGUGAAAUCUGACUCGACGGACCUAACAAAACUCGUAAAAUCGUCGAUUCCACUUCCUUCGUUGUGUAUGUACUGAUAUGGGGUUCCUGGUUUAGUGGUUGAACCGGGGUUGGACCGUUUUUAAACCGGGUCGGCCAUUUUAAAUAUUACAUAAAGUUAAAUCGGACCGAAAAAAUAUUGGAUUGAACGAAAUCAAACUGACAGUACAAAUAGUCAAAUUUUGAGAUUUAACCUUUGAAAAUUGAACAAUUUUAAAAAAUUUAUGUACAUUAUGAUGUUAUUCUUUUUUAAGUUUAUGUAAUAUAAUGAUAUUAUCUAUAGUUGAAGUCUUCCACACAUAUAUAUCUAGAAUGCUAAAGAAACCCUAAUGGAUCUUUCAAUCUUUCUUUAAUUGGGCUCCAACUACUCAAUACCCUCUCUCACACUUUUUUUCUCUAUAGAGAAACUCUCUCCCUUUUUCAUCAGAUUUUUUUCUCCUUGUAAUCUAAUCUUAUUUUUCUAAUAUUUUCAUUCUAUUUCUUCCCUAUUUGUCUCUUUUACUUUUUUCUUUUUGGAAGGUUAUUAGAAAAAGAGGACCACUAAAUAAUUCCGUCGACGUCCAGCAAUAGGGUUUUCCAAUUUUUUCACAGAUGGAUCCAUGUUUCCAAAGUUCUUUUGUUUUUUUUUCUGAUCUGAUAGUUGGUUCUUUAACUAGUUGAAUUAUCUGGUUUUCCGGGGAAAUCGGGUCAAUCCUCAGUUUUGUUCAUUCUCCUCAACCGCUAACUCAGUAUUGAUCAAAUGAUCGGUUCACAGUCGGACCGGCCGGGCUGAUAUGGUUUUGCUAACAUUGAUCUUAGUAGAGCCGACUAGAGGCCAUUCCAACCGAGCCACAAUGGCCUCAUACGAAAAACUCCUAGUUACCCUGAGUUCUUGAUAAUAAAUAAGAAUUGGAGUGCUUGUGCUAUGAUAUCACACUCCAAUUAGUGAAACUCAUUAAGCAUACACACAUUCCUUUCUUUCCAUCAGAAUCACAUAAGCAUUACCCAUCUUUCCAACUCCAAAUUCAAAACUUUGCGGUUGCUAAGUGAGAACCAAUCGCAUCAGUCAUUAGAAUCAUCAAAAUCAACCAGUGAUCAUGUUUAGAGUUACCUCAAAUCCGCCAAGUCCAUUGGCAAUCUCGGAAAUAGUGAAUUUGCAGGCAACCUGCAAAAUGGGCAUAUAUCACCAUGUCGAGGAUUAUGCUUAUACAUAUUAUACCUGUAGGUAAAAUUUACGAUGAAAUUUUCAUAAGAACUGCUCACCUUCGACGGAAUCUACAAUGACCAAGAACAAUUCCAAACAUCCGAGUUGCAAUUUGGAUUAAGACCCACUAAAAGAAAACCGUGUCCAUUAUUACGGAUAAAACCGGCCGUUGUCACUGAUAUUUCCAUGUCCCUGCCUCGUUGUCGCGGGAAAAUCAUCCGCGACAACGGGCGCCUUCAUAAUGAGGGGUGNNNNNNNNNNNNNNNNNNNNNNNNNNNNNNNNNNNNNNNNNNNNNNNNNNNNNNNNNNNNNNNNNNNNNNNNACGGCCGCCUUCAUAAUGAGGGUUGUGGGGACUAAACUAUCCGCGAAAAAUAGGGUUGGCGCGAACCCGUUAUGACCGGUUUGGUUCAAAUAGUUAGGUUGAAAGGCAUUUUAACAAGUUUAUCCGCAAAAACGGCAAGAGAUAUCCGCGACAAUGGCUAACAACAUUUGUUUUGCCGUCAUAACGGUUCCCCUAACGACGUUGAGUUUAUCCACGGCCAAGGUUGACAUUGUUAGUUUCUCCAUCCUACCCGUAAUGGUUGUUGUGCCAAAUACUAGGCCAUAAUAUCUGCGACAACAGCUCAAGUACUGCCUAAAAUUUUGUUAUUUUUGCUUGUUUCGUCCACUGUGGGCGCCUAAAAUAAAAGUUUAUAUAUGCACUAUUCUACACAUAACACAAUAUAUACCAAUAUCAUUAGCAUAACGAUAACACAUAUGAUCAUCCAAGAGUUAAUACUAUAACAUAAUCCAUAGAUCUACUCCAACAUAAUUCCUUGAUUUUUUACCUAACUAAAGUCAUUAGUUCACUAGACUACAUCACUAUCAACCUAGAUAUAACUACACUAGAGACUCGUCAUCCUCAUCCUCGUCAUUAUGACCAAGAUCCUUAUUAGCUCAAGUAUACAAAAGAAGAUAUAUAAAAUUGAAAUUAGGUUAAAACACAUAAAAUUAAGUAACAUGAACUUUAUAACAUAUAAAGAUUACUAAUAAUUUACCCGCCACAUCGUAGUCGUAGUUCUGUUGGAUGUGGUUAUAUUAUAUUAACCGCUACAAUCGUCGUUACGGAUCAUUAUCCGUGUCCGACGAUGACCUAACCGUGACACCCGUUAUCGCGGAUAUUAUCCCCCAUAACUAAUCUACGUCAGACAUCAAAUUUUGUUGUAGUGGCCAAGCUAUUCUUUAAAGCUAGUCAGCCAGUUUUAAUACCCCUAUUUUUUCGAAUAAACAGCUUUACUACUUGAAAUCCAAAUAAGCAUUCCGAUUCUUGAACAUCGCAAUGAAUAAUUUGCACGAUAGAAGUUGAUAUAGUUGACCAAAAACAGCUUUCAAUAAGAGCAGUAUUCUACUGAUAAGUCGUUCGAUUAACCAACUCACGAACUGUAGCAUCAACAUCAAACCUCAUCGGCGUAGAGGUCACAAAAUUACCGGGUACUAACGGAAGCCAUCCGUCUCCCCAAAUUCUAACGGACAUACAAUUUCCCACCCACCACCCAAGGCCACUCCAUACAAAACAUUGAGCACCAAAAAGGCUAUGCCAUAUAAAGCUAAACCCAACUCAGCUUUAAAGACAUAAUAGAAUUUUUAAAAUACUUAGCUUUCAUAAUUCUUACAAUAAGGGAAGAUGCUCUUGAGUGUAAGUUCCAAAGAUGUUUAGCAAGUAAAGUAAUGUUAAAGCCUAAAAAAUCACAUAAUCCCAUCCUAGCUUCGGAUUUCAAACUCAAUAGAUAUUCUUGACAAAAUGAGGGAUGAGCACUGGGUCGGGUCACCCAUCAAAACCCACCCGCCUAUAAUCACUCUCUACCACUACUACCCUUUUCCCCAUCACCAUAAAACUUUGCAUGCUUGUUUGUGUGUUUUUGUAGUUUUUUUGUGUGUUUUAUGUCGCUUUUCAUCGUUUGAGUAGAGAGAGAGAGGGAGAGAGAGAGGGAGAGAGAGAGAGGGAGAGAGAGUAUUUCAAGGGUUGCAUGUCAUACCAAUGAUUAAGAAUGCAUGAUAGAAGGUCUCGAUUCAAAUUAGGGUUCGGUCGGUGUCUGAUCGAAGGACGAAUGAUGCUUGCAUUAUUUUAUUUUUACUGAAAAAUUGGGCUUCUGGAGCAGCCUUUAGAUCAAUCUCAAGGUGUGUGGCUUUGCAUAGUGUGUGUCGUUUCCUUAAGUUUCUCUCGAUAGAAAAUCGAGUUUAUGGCGUGUGAUCCCACAUGCCAUGUGACUGAUUUUUGACAAAACGAACCGACCAAAGAACAACCAAAAACCCAACCGGCUCAAACCGUAAUGAACCAGAUUGAUUUUCAAACCGAUUUUCAACCAAAUCAAACUGAGUUUGACCAGACGCAUUGACCCUUCGUUGACCGGCCGUUGCCCCCGUUGACCGGUCACCAUGGAAGAAAAAACAUGGCAGUUUAGUAGUAUUUUGGGCAUAACAUUUUGCUCGGGAGUCUGAUUGACACAAGGUCAGUGACGUUGGAAACUUGUUCAGUUGCCUACAACUUUGAUGUCAUGAUGUGGCCUAAAUCCAUGCAGUUUGUGCUCAUUUUUCUUGGUUUGGAUUGAUGGAAUUUGAGAAAGUUUGAAUUGUGGUCUUGUUUGGUUUGAUGAUUUGGUGCGAUCGUGAUCAAUUUCUUGAUAGUAUUAUAGUGAUAUGUUCAUUGCAAAUGCUAACGUUUGGGAUGGUUGUCCAAAAUGGAUAAUUCUAGCUUUGCAAUGUGAAGAUUGCUGGAUGUUGAGACGUGAUCACUUUGUCACUCUUGUAUCGAUGGCAUGUUGUUGAUUUUCAUGAGAACUUGGAAUGGCAUCAUGAUGCUUCAAAGUGUGGUUGAACGUAGGUUGUUACUAGGCCUGAGAGUCGGUUAAUUUGGUUACUAACCAUCUGCUUAAUGUUCGGGGAAAAUGAUUUGGAGAUUAAAGUUGGUUAAUCGGUUUAACUGACCGACCAUAUGUAAUGGUUAAAAAGCCGACCAAUAACUGAUAAAUCGGUUAAAUAACCAAUUAUUAACCAACAGAUUAGUCGGUUAAUCCUAUGAACUGACUUUGAUUGAUUGACCGACUAUACCGACUUAACCUAACAAGAUCUGAAUCUCCAUGCUCAUCUCUGCCAUCGAGUGAGCCACGUUCUGCUCAUGAUAACCGUUCGUCCAAGCAUUCAUACUCUACUAAGAAAGCUUGCCAUGGCCGCCACUCUGAACACCGGUCAAAGAACUGAAUACUUGUUCCAAGAUCCGAACUUCCAGAACCGUCUCCAAUCCAUCUUCCCAAUUGUAGUUUGGACAAAGUUUCCUCAUCUGAAUUUUUACUCAAUCACACAACUACAACCUACACGACAACCAUAAUCAAUAGAGUGGAGGGGGAUAGGAUGAAACAGAGGACUGGUUGAAAUUAUAUGGGCCUAUGUUGCAUCCUCAAUAGCUCGUCGUCGCCAAGCCUCACUGAGCCGUCCCCGAGAGAGGAAGAGACGUAGAGUCUAGAGAUCGUGCUUUACUAGUGCUCAACACUCAUGGAGCCGUCACUGAGAGAGGAACAUAAUCCCUAAUGAAUCGUGAAAUCGAGAAUGAACGGGGAUAAGUGAAUAUGUUUGUGUGUGUGUGAGUUUGACCUAAAAAUGGGGGGAUUGGGAAUACGACGUAGACAUUUGGGUUCAGACUUGGGGUUCUUUUGACCGAUUAAUGUUGGUUAACACAAGUUAACUGACGGGUUUUAACCGAUUCACCGUUUAACUGAAGUCAGUUUUUCUCUUUGACCGUCCCCCAACCAACCUGUAGCUCGAUUAAACCUUCCUCUAACUUAUUCGGUCGGUUAAUCAAUUUUAAACGAUUAACCGAAACUGAAUUCCUACCCUUAGUUGUUACUAGGUGCUUUUGUUGCUCCCAAUUGAUGAUUUGUGAUUAUUUCCAUGCUCAUUUAAUUUGCUUCCAUUGCUCAUAUUUUGUCCUACCAUUACCCUUGAUGACUCAUUGGUUACUCACUGUUUUGGUAAAUGGUUCAAAGAAGCAUGAGGCAUAUUACUAGUCCAUUUGUUCCUGUAAUGAUAUAUCUUUGACCUCACCUUUUGGUAUAACUUGAAUGAUGCAUACGUUGUCACUUCAUGCUUUGCAUACACUCUUUAUGCUCGUUCUUGUUCAUUGGACUUGGUCAACAUUUGUGAGGAUUUCUUUGUGGCAAUUGAUGAUAAAUGAGUUAAGGUGGUCCCAUAGCUUUUGCUUACCCUUGUCUUACUAAUUUAUGAAUUAUAGGAUGCUCUUGUUUAGGAUUGCUAGUUAGUCUUGCUUGAGAAUAACUAGUUAUCUUCUUCAUUGGUUUUGCCUUUCUUUUACAUCUUGCCUAUGCCAUGUCUACUUAUGAGCUAUUUAUUGCCUAUCGUUGCCUAAUUCGAUUGGAUGCUUAUUGAGGUGGUUCCUUAGUGGCCGUAGGAUUAUGGGUUGACACCUCUACAUGCUUGAUGUGUAUGAUUAUUCUCCAUUUCGAAAUUUUCAAUGAUACUUUAAAGUCAAAUUUGAAUGCUCUUUACAAAUGUGUCAAUUUUGGCACAGUUUUCAAGGAUUCAUCAUUUAGUGUUUAUAAUUCAUUUUCGUUUUAAAUUUUCGUUUCCCACAUUUACUUUUCAUGUUUUGUUGCUUUUAUUGUUUUAAAUUUUAUUAUUUUUAUUUUAAUAGGCUUACUUUCCUUGUAUAUCCCCAAUUGUAACUUGGUAUCCGUAUUCUCAACUAAAUCAACAAAUGACACCAAAUAACUUAAAAUUGAGAACUAUAAGAGCUCAAAAGAAGGAGAUUUAGCAGAGUCUCUUAUAGGUUUCAAAAAAGCGAGGAAGGAUCUUCAAGUGGAGAGGACCCUUUCUCCUCCCUAACUCCAAUGGCGAACAAAACUCUAGCAUUAGACCACCUAAAGUCAGACGAUAAGCCAUGCAUUCAUCUCGUGGACUUUAUCUUCUAUUGCGACACCAUCAAGCUACACGGUGUUUCUGUUGAGGUUCACAUCGUGUUCCCCUUGAGUUUCAGCAACCAUCCACUCCAAGCACCUUAAAUCAUCCGUCUUAGUUUCUGCUUGUCCCCAAACACCGUACAUCGCAUGUACUUCGUGAUUUUUCCAUUCUUUGAGGCAUUUAGCUCCUCCUUGUACAUCAUACAGUUAUGAAUAAUGCCUCGACGUUGUUGUGUGCCUGAAAUUGAUAAAAAACACAACGCAACAACAUCAAAUGGACCCCAAACGGGUAUGAGACACUAAAUCGAGAUAGAAGUUACAAAUGCACAAAACAUCAUGUCGUGAAUGUUUCGAUCCGCGACACCGAUGGCUUGAAAUAUUUCAGAGUCGCCACCAAUCUGUUGAAGCGGAUUGGACGCUGUCGACAUAACCCAGGUCCUUUUGGACGUGAGUUAGAACAGGUCUGCGGAACAGAGAUCCUGGAUUCGAGAGGCGGUUACGUGCAGGGAAGGAUUAGCACCCCCAUAGCGCCCGUCAAACCGGUACUACUAAAUUUGAUAAGUUAUGUUUUAUUUUCUUAGUUUAGUGGUUUAAUUAUGCUUUAGUUUGGACGCAUAAGGUUAUGUAAAUUUUUUAGAGAAUAUUUUUAUUCAAUUGUAAGUCUUUAUGAGUUCCCACUCUUGUGGAAAUUUUUUUUUAUGUUGAUAAAUAUUUUGAGUUGAACAUUCUUAAUUUAAUUGUUUGGAUUUACGAAUUCCCAUUCUUGUGGAAAUUUUGUUUUACGCUGGUGAAUAUUUUUAAGUUGGUUAUUUUUAAUUUAUAUGUUUGGACUCAAGUCUUACGACUGCCUACGUACCUAAUUCUUUGGGAUCAAAGAUCAUGUAGUUCGUUAUGGAAAAGUUGAUUUGAGGAUUUUUUGUAAUUUUUACUAUUAUAAAAACCACGUUAUCAUGCUCAUUUUUUAUUUGAAAGACAUUUAUUUGGUUAUUUCAAAGUUGGAACUUUAUUUGCCCACUUAUGAUUAAAUGAUAAUUCUACAAAAUUCGAAACUCUUGUCACGGAUACGAAAUUCAUAUAACAUUGCUAUAAUAUCUUUAAAGGAUUAUUAUUAAGGAAAUUUCACAUUUUUUGCCAAUCGAAAAAUUAAUUGGUUUAUAUCAGUUAACUUAAUUUGACAUAAUUAAAAAUGCAUUACAAGACGGUUAACGAACUUACAUUUAAAUAAAUAUGUCACAAGUAUUUUUGGUGAUUUGACAAUUCUAUUGUGGUUAUGUUAAUGUUAAUUAAAAUGAUACGUUGAUUUGAAUAAUUGUAAAGUUUUGAGUUUUUAAGUUUACAACUUUAAGGUAUAAAUAUCAAAUAGGAUUAAAGAAGGUAUGACGUUUAUUCUGUUAUUCUUCCACACUUAUUUCACUUUUAUUCCACUCUUAAUAUGGCCUUAAUGAUAUAUGAAUAUAAUUGAAUCGACUAAAGGCUUGGCCUUUCUAAAUUAAUUGUGCCCAAGCUCGAGCUCGGCCCAACCGAACGAUGAGCCGAACCGGCGGGUAAGAGGAGGGCAGCCCGCGUGCCAAACUGGUCGAACCGGUUAUCCACGGUUCGAUCAGAAAACUCAAAAAGAUGAAAUUGCCCCUAGCGUUCCGUGCGCUGAAGAAGGGUGGCAGGGGAAAUUUUGUAACUUCACCUUAAACCUAAUCGGCCUUAUAAAAGGGCCUCUUAAAUCGAGAAAUGACUCAUUUGCAACUUCCCACUCUCUCUUUAUCAUCCCUCUUUCUAAACCGCCGCCCUUCUCCCCCCCCCCCCCCCCCCCCCCCCCACCCACCUUUAUCACGGAGUGUGCUGUUUUUUUCUAGUUCCUUUCUCUUCUUCUCAGCCGCCCUUUUUUGCCUCCUCUUACCUCUCAGGACCCCUCUUUCUACCUCCGUUUUUUCGAUUUUUCCAGAUUUGGACUUGCAUGUCAUCGGAGGAUACUCCGGUGAGUCCUCCGGCAAAAUGCAAGUCUCGAUCUGUAGAUCUAAUGUUUUAUUUUGGUAUUAAACAAUUUUGGUUAUUUGAGGGUGGUACCGACGGGGGUGGCGGGGAGGUAGAGAAAUGGAAAAAAGAGAAAGUUAGGUAAGUAAGAUUUCUUCCCUAUUCCUUUUGAUUAAUGUCUGGUUAAUUGCUAACGAAGCUAACUACCGGUUUCUUUGAUGACUUUUUUUAUGUCUUUGAAAAUGGGCAUAGUCGACAUGUUUUGGAAAAUGAGAGGAAAAGGAGAAGAUUGCUUUUAGGAGGUAAGACAGCUAAUUUUGAACCCAUUCUAAUUUUUCUAGGUAGAAGUAACAAUUCUAUUUGUUGAUAAGUUGCAUAAGAAACUAGGUUUGUUUUGUUACUGAAGUUGUAGUAGUAGUCUAGGUGUUUUAAAAAGUUUUGUUUGAAAAACUUUAUUUUUUUUACUAUUGUUUAAAUUUUUUUAGCAACAUUGUUUAUUCCAAAAAUCCGUAUUUUAACUCGAUUUUACUAUGAGUUUCAUAGUUCUUUAGGUCUUUGGUGCGAAAAUGAUGAAAGAUGGCUAUAGGUUUCGUUGUUAAUACUUUCCAAUAACUUUUAGUUCAUUUUUGAAGCUUAUUUGAUUGAUUUGUUGGUUGUUUAUUAAAAUGAAUCAUUUAUUUGAUUAGUUGCAACGAAUCAUUGGGUUCAAUAGUAGUUUAGAAGGUUGCUAAGUGAUAUAGCAUAACAAUGUAUAUGUAUGAAUGAUGUGUGAAUGCUUCAGAAUAGGGAUGUUUUGAAUGAUUACCUUCAUUCAAAAUUUCUCUUUUAUCGUAUUUCAGGUGGCGGCGCCUAUCGUGAGUGACGUCAAACCGAUUUGGCGGCUUCUAUGUGUAUGGCGACAAAAGAUGUUGUAAAACUUAUUUUUUUACAGUUUUGUAAUUAUUUCCCGGGACUUUGAACGAGUGAUGUUGGUGUAUUAUUUUUGGGGGUUUUGGGAAGAACUGGGGGACGAAUUUUGAAAACUGUAAGCUCCUCUUUUUGCUGAUUUUUGUCAGUCCAUUUAAAUGCAGAAAGGGCUACAGUCACUUCUUUUAACCAACCACAUCUUGCAAAGUUUUCUGACAAAAAUAAAAGGUGGCAGCUCCCCAAAUAAUAACCGUAACGGGCCCGAUAUUGGGCUUGAAAUAAGGCCUGGAAUCGGGCCCGAAAUCAAAUUGGGUCUAACACAUAAAUAGUUUCGAGAUAAGGGAUUUUGCCGAAUUUCGAGAUAGCGGACUUGAGGUCCACUCAUUUCGGCCGUUUCCGUUUAAAAAGAUCUAAAACAAAAUCGGCUUAGAACAGUCUGUAACAUAAUAAUUACAUCUCGAAAAUAUGCUAUUUGGCUACCAAGUUCUCCCCUAACGUGCACUUUGAUUAAUUUAACUGAAUAAACUUCGCAACAAGUAAAAUCUCGACGCUAAAUCCUUCCUAGAGAUGCUACGACUAUUUAGUGAAAUGACACUGGCGUGCAUUCUUCACUCGAACGAAAUUUGGUUACUACAGUUGUCCCUCUUUGUAUUACUUUCGCUUGGAAGUGGAAAGUGGUACAAAGACAGAAACCAAAUUUCGGACGAGCGCCUGAACUUCUCACGUCAAGUCCACUAGGGUCCAAGGAUCUGCCACAACAUCGGGUAGAAAACAAAAUUUGCAACCUGACCACACAAACAACAUGCAAUGCAUUUCCCUAUGGGUGUUAGGGUGAAUGUACUAGGGACUCAGCUUGACUUAUCUCCCGUUCCAUGGGUUGACUAUACUAGGGACUCAACUCGACUUAUCUCCUGUUCCAAGGUGCAAUCCGCUUUCCCCAGGAUGCUAAGGGUUGAUGUACUAGGGAUUCGACUAGACUUAUUUCCCGUUCCAACGUGCGAUCCGUUUGCCUUAGGACGCUAAGGGUUGAUGUACUAGGGAUUCAGCUUGCUUAGUUCCCGUUCCAUGACUACAAAUGUGUUGAUGAUGAAUGGUUUCGAAAGAGUUUGAGUAAGGCUCCCCCUUUUUGAAAAAAACAUGCAUCUGAUGGCAAUGCUUGAUUGAUAUUUUUCAUCAUUUUCACUCCGACGAGAUUCACUGUUUUGUUUUCUUGUCGCUUAGUUCGCACUACGUGCUAGCGCAAUGGUGUCAACCCUGCUGAUAGCUGGGUAACCUUUAAUGUAUGUGCCCAUUUUUCUUUGUUUUUCCCCCGACGUCUUCAUAUUAUUCCCAUGCCUUGGGAUUUUAAGGAUCUCUUUCCUACUUUGUCUCUACUUCUAGAUAUAAUGGUAAGAUAACGACGACCUUUGUAAAUUUCUUUCUUCGGUUAGGAAUAAGUGGAGAAAUCCUGCCAUCCGGGCUUCUUUUCUUUAACCCUUCCCUUUUACUAAUUUUUUCAUUCUUUCAACGGUUUUCAUUAUUAUUACUAUUAUUUUUCUCCCUUUUGUCUUCACUUUACCGCUAAUUUCAUUUGAAAAGACCUCCUAAUGAUUAAUUAGAGCGAAGGUGUUUGCACGAACGCAUUUGCCUCAAGUUCCUGUGGGGUGUUGUACCUCAUCCAUUUUGUUUGGUGAUGCGUGAACAAUGGUUAGGAGAGUAGUAUUUGAGAAUUCAUGAAGUAUCCAAAACUUAAAGUUGACUUAAAUUAUCACUUUAUUGAUGGAAAACCGAUCACGUAGAUCUCCGUCAGGAACUUUAAGCAUAGUACUUGUUUACUGAAUAAGAGUUAAAUAGGUAAGGGAGCUUGUCUCCGUCCAUGUUUGCCAGUAUUAAUGCCCCCCUGAGAAAGCCCUUUCCCCUACAUAGGGCCCUUCAUAGUUCGGCUUCCACAUUCCUCUUGGGUCCCCUUGUCAAAUGGAAAUCUUCUUCGUUACCAACUCUCCUUCGCGAAAUUCCCGUGUUUCACUUUUUUUUAAAA